rnacentral:lncRNA from 1 species
GUACCUUAUACGCUCCAGCAGACUUCGUGGUGAUAGAGACUGAUACUGAUGAGAGGGCACCCAUCAUCCUAGGGAGGCCAUUCCUGAACACCUCGGGAGCUGUCAUCUACGCUAGUGCUGCCAAGAUCAGUUUCUACAUCAAGGGGAAGAAGGAGACGUUUUCCUUCAAGAAACAAGACUACAGAAAUCCCAGAGCAAUCCCGACAUGAACCAAGGAAGAGGACCAACAGGAGGAACAAGAACAAGCAAAUGUGUACCGAGUCAGCUAAGAUGGUCACUGCAGCUCAAGGAGGUCAAGAUCGUCAACUCAAGUCACCUUUCUUGAUCGAGAAGGACGACCCUGGUGUCCCAAGCAUCGAGUGCACAAUCAACGGAUAUUCUUUUCAGAAGACACUCUACGACACCGGAUCUAACGUCAACAUAAUGGCCGCAGUCACUUAUCAGCUCCUGCAUGGAACCAUGUCCCUACAACCAACAUACAUUCAGCUCCAGAUGGCAGAUCAGACAUUCUGAAAGAUUGAAGGUUAUUGACAUGGGAGAAGACGAGUACGAUCCACCCAUCAUCCUUGGAAGACCGUUCUUUAGCACCAUUAAAGCAAUCAUAUACAUUGGAACCAGAGAAGUCCACAUGCACUUCCCCUCAGAGAAGGUACGCCACUGUUUUACUGACCUUAACUAUAUAGUUGAAGACUCUAAGCAGGUCAGGACAAGAAGACGACGAUGCAACCGCAACCAGAGGAGGCAAAUCAUCAAGGACGGAUGGGUAGACUAUGAAGGAGAAGUUGUAAGGUCUGAAGACAUACAACUUGAACAGAACUGUCCUGAGGAGAUCGUAGCACCAAGGCAGGUGUGGAGAAAGAAGAUAGUUAUACAUGAAGAGUACGCACCGCCGGAACCACCGACUACGCCAUCCAGCGAAUUCCAGGAUGAUUGAGAAAACGGAAAAUCCUGUUCAAAGGACUUAAAGACACCGAACGCCUUGCCAAGAGGUAAACUUGGUAGUUAUCUUUUUCCUUUCAAUUAUUUAAAAUAGUUUGCUUAGUUAAUCAGGUUCAUAUCAUCUUGAAAAGAAAAUAAAAAUGUUAAAAAUAGUAAGCCCCAUGUGAGUAUGCUCAUGGCAUAAAACCCAUAAGUACAUUCACUGUGGUGCCAUAAAAAAUAAUAUAUAUAUUCCUGUCCUAUAAAAAUAAAAUUAUAGAAAUAAAUUUAUGAUCGUACUAAAAAGAGUAACAUUUAUUGAGGAGGCUCAACAUGAUAAAGGCUAGAUAUUUAUGCUAACACUUAACUAGUUCCACAAAGCUUUGUUGUCUAUUUGAGCUCCACAGAAUUCAAGGAUCAAAGAAGACUAGCAGACGGAGGACAUCCUACUCGCUGUCAGAGUGCUGCAGACAUUCAAAUACACCUCCGCCACCUGCUAGCUACAUCAGAAGAAACUUCGUCAAAAUCCAGCUUGGGGGAGAGCACCCCCAUUUAUCCAGCUAAGUGUUUCUACUCACGUUUAUACUUUACUCUAAUAAUAAAAAGAUGCAUAAUCAUAGAAACCCAAAUAAAGAUUUUGUGCUUAUAUAUAUCUUUGCUUAGUUUGCUAAAUAAAUAAAUAAAUAAAGUUUGCUAUGAACCAUCAUGAUAAGCUCUCAUAUGGAAAUGAUGAAUAGUUGCUCUGCCAUGACUAGUUCUCAAAAUUGAAAUCUCUCUCAAGUUUAGGCAUGACUGUUAUUAAUUAAGAUUUGCUCUAAACCUAAACUUGUGGGAAGAGUACUUGAUCUGAAGUCUAAGUCGUUAACGGAUAUGAUAUGGGAAGGUUGAGCUGUUGUUUAUCUGUUCCUAGAGAUGCUAGAAUUCUGGAGAAUUUUAUUUUUGAAAAUCUUUAAAAUGUUGCAUGAUGAGUUCCUGUAUGAUGAGAGUUUAAAUUCCUACCACAGCCAUAUAUACAUGCUUGCUAGACUUUGAGCCACACAUUUACUUUUUACUGCUUAUGAGCAUUGAGUGUGGUCAAGCUGUAGACCCUUAGGAGCUUGUCAUGUGGUUAAGUCAAGAUUCACUUGCACGUUCACUCAUACAUGCUGCUUCUACUCCGGAAGUGCGCAUCCACAUAUAUCCACCCAUUUCCAUCUCCAGAACCACCCAAAAAUAUUCUAUUCCUAAUCCGGGAGAGAAUAGCCAAAAACAUUUCUGUUUUUCCCCUGUGAAAUAAAUGCUCAAGUUAUCUUGGUUACUACCACUUGCUAUAUUAUUUCAGGAGAUGUGUGCUCUAAUAUAAAAAAAAAGAGAGAAAAAAAUACGAGGAAAUAAAAAGGGGCAAGUGCCCGGAACCUCGAAAGAAAAAAAAAGUGAGACGAGAGGUAAAAAUGGACAAGUGUCCGACAGUAGAAUUAGGGGUACAAGAUACCCACCUGAGAGAAGAAAAAGAAAAAAAAAUAUAUAGAGCAUCUCAUUCUCCUCAAAAAGUUUCAAAAGAGCAAGAAAGGUAUGUAUCCCCUCAAAAGAGCACAAGUAGAAUUAGACUUUCACCAUUGUUAUCACCAUCAUUACCAUGCACCAUUCAUUCGCCACACAUGCACAUCUUGAUUUGACUUAUUGACUUGUUCUUCUAGAUCCAUGGUUUGACUAUGCAAUAAAUGUCUUGUAAGUAUGUAUUAGCUGUCUCCUACCUAUGAGCUCCAGAUAUCAAAAGCCUUAUUAGAGUAGGGUGAGAGAGAAGGCAAUGCCACUAUGCCUUAUACCACAAAUACCACAUACUUUGAGAGAAGGCAUACACCAUUAAUGUCUUGGUAAGGAUCCAGAAAUACCACAAAAGAGAGACUAGAGAGAGUCAUACAAGGAAUCUCUGAGUUUUAUUUGAAAAUCUGCAAAAACUCCAGAGCUAUAGUUAAUCGAAGAACAAGAGGCAUGGUGCUUGACUAGACUGUUCUAUCUUUUAACUACUCAAGAGAGAAGUGACGGUUACAAGUCUCAUGGUGAAAGGUAAAUGAGUAAGUUUUAAGUCUUAACAGUUUACCCUAACCUAGAGAUGAGAUCUUGUUUGAACGCAUGUGUAUCUUUAAGGCAUGAAACCACUGCAGAAAUUCUUGAGUUCAUCUUUGCUCAGGGACGAGCAAAGGUUAAGCUUGGGGGAGCUUGUUGACGGUCCUUAAUGCUCAUAUUUAACCAUCAACUAAUCAUGGAAAAGGAUCCAAAUGCAACCAACACCUAGACUUAGGGUUUUAUCUGACAGAAUUCCACGAGUUUUGGUGUUUGUCUGUUUCUGCAGGGGGUUAUCAGGAAAUACGGAAGAAAGGCCCACACGUCGGGUUUACAUAGAGAUAUUAACGUGCUGCGCAAUUUUCUAUCAUCUAGAAGACUCCAGAAGCCACGGGAACGAACGGGAGGCCGAUCGGGCUCGGAGGCAGGGCGCCCGCCCAACUCUCCUGGGCGCCCGCCCAGCUACAGUGUCCAAUUCGGACCCGUUUCGCGUACAAUGCUCCACCGACCUAAUACUUCAAGGAAAACCACACGAUCAAUGUCGGUUUGAUCCGACGGCCCAGAUUCACUUGAAGGGACUAUAAAACCAGACCCCCUGGCCCCUGGAGAUCAUACCUCUUCUACAGAAUCAAAGCUAGGGUUUCAAUUCUUCAUCCAAGUAGAAAGGAUCCCUCUAGUUCUUCUAGUUCUACCUCUAGUUCAUCUAGAUCUAGUUCUAGUUCAUCUAGUUCUAGUUCUAGUUCCUCUAGUUCUAGUUCUAGUUAGUUCUAGUUGUAAUCUAGAAAAUAGGGAGAGAGAAGAGGAGAGUGGAGGAGGAGGAGCCGGAUCUGUCGGAUCUUCCUCAACAUUAUACUUUUGCAGCAUCUGGUUCGUUCUUCAUCGUUCUCCAGGUUCUUCAAUUCAUAAUUCCUGAGUUCUUUAAUUACUUUUAUUUACAUUCAAGUUAUUUAUUGGAUUCCCGCUUGCAUCAAGUGCUCUAGUCUUUAUAACGCUAGAGUAGUAAUUAAUAGAUUAGACGUGGUGUUUAGUCUUGCAAUUACCUGGAAUUGCACCCAAUCCUGCGGAUUGUUGUGGUAGCCUUAGGGUAGUGACAGCCCUAACGGUCGACGUAUUCCACCACGUUCGGAUCGGUGUUUGUAGGACCGUAGUCAGACCUUCCUAGCCCCCUUCUCAUCUCUUUCUGUGGUUAGUGCUCUGAUGUCCCGAUAUAGAUAAUCUUGAAGUAAUUCUUGAUUCUUAGAUCAACUAGAGAACUCUCAGGAAACUUCCUCUCUUCCCACCAAAAAUAAUUAUAUAGUUAUCCUUGGGCAAUCUUGGAUCUUAAUUAGUACACUCACGUUCUCUGUGGAAAAUCGAUACUCUGGAAUACUCCCGGGUGAAAGCUACAUCGGUAUCCGUGCGCUUGCGGAUUUUUCUGUUUGCGUUUAAAAUACCCAACAGUUAUCUACAAGAUCAUAUAUAACAUAAAAGACUCUUCAUUCAUGUAUAAGGAACAUUGCUAAAGUAAAUCAGAGCAUCGCAAGACUUACUCCGCAAUACAAAUUCUUCCUGUUCUAUCAACGGAGGGUGGACUAUAUAAGAAUCUUCAAAGCUGUCACUAUCGCGAACUACCACAAAACCCGGCCAAUAGGAUACAUUUGUAGGUAAAUAACAUCUAAGCACCACGCCCACAUGUGAUCUACCACUUAACUCCCACAUGUCAGGAGCUAAGCGCUUUGCAAACUUAUACAUAAACUCAUUAUCAAUUAUAACUAUAUCAAAUAUAGAACUAGAGCAAACUAAGAGCAUAAUAAAUAUAGACAUAAUGCAAUUAGAAUAAAGUAGUAGAGAAAGAUAUGAAAUAAUACCAAUCUUUAUUAACGAAGAUCCGAAUGCAGAGCACUAGGCUCUACUUCUCUAAUUCUAUCGAAUCAAUCCUCUAAACUUGAAGGAUUAGGGAGUAGCUAAUUCUAAUUCUCUAUGGGAGAGAAGUUCUAUACCCUAACUUUGAUGGCUACCUCUGAUAAUGAUUUCUCCUCUCUCUCCCUGGGGUGGAGUGGCCUUGAUUAUAUAGUCCUUUCAAGUGAAUUUGGGCUGUCAGAUCAAACCGACAUUGAUCGCAUGGUUUUCCUUGAUCCUUUAGGUCGGUGGAGCAUAAUCCGUGAAGUUCAUUGUGAUUGGCCCUGAGGCCAGGGCGGGCGCCCGAGGGGGGAGGGCGGGCACCCUGCCCUCGAGCCCGUCCGGUCUCCCGUUUGUUCUCGUGGCUUCUGGACUCUUCUAGAUUAUGGAAAAUUACGCGGCACGUAAUUAUCUCAUUGUAAACAUGAAAUGUGGGCCUUCUCUCCAUAUUUUCUGAUAACCCCCUAUAGUAAUAGAUAAACACCAAAGCUCGUGGAAUUCUGUGGGAUAAAACCCUAAUUCUAGAUGGUUGGUGCAUAUUGAUCCUUUUCCAUGUUUAGUUGAUGGUUAAAUUUAGUACUUAAGGACCGUCAACAACUACCUCACUUGUGGGUAGGUUCUUAGGGUAUCCUAGUGAGGACGAGGUUCAUGCUACACCUCUUAGCCACCGAACCACCAAGUGUUGGUCGACACAACGGGGACGUAGCGUGCCGGCAAGCACGUGAACCUCGGGAGAAAAAUUGGUGUCUCAAUUGUGUUUUAUUGGCAUUCUCCCCGUGCUUGAUUGUUUAUAUUGGUGAUUGGUUCAUCCCCUACACGACGGUAUAAAGAUCAACCUUCUCUCUUACAUUCCUACAAACUAGAAUAGCUUACUUACUUGUAUAGAAACUUUAGAUAGCUCUCUAGUGUAAGUAGUGACUUAGCUCUUGUGUGCCUAGUGAUCAUAUCAACUAGAAUUGUUUGAUAGGUGGCUUGCAAACACCCCAUUAGAAAUAGAGCAAAAAGCUAUGCUUUGUUAUUUACUAACCACUUGCUCUAGUGAGUUUUGUAUAAUUUUUAAAAUAGGCUAUUCACCCACCCUCUAGCCAUAUUAGGACCUUUCAAGUGGUAUGGGAGCUGUGGUCACCGUUUUGUGAAGGCUUAACAACCUCGGUGCUCAAACUAUGGCUCAAAUAGUGUUCAACCAUGUUGGGGGCAAACCACCGUUCUUUGAUGGCACAAGUUCUUUUGACUAUUGGAAGAGAAAAAUGAAAAUGUACCUUGGAUCAAUCAAUGAUAGAGUGUGGGAAGUCACGGAGAAUGAUUUGUGAUCCUUGACCCCGCCAACCCAACCGACAAUGAUGGAGCCAACAAACAAUGCAAUACUAUGGCUCUCAACACAAUUUACAAUGGCAUUGAUUCAAAAGUGUUUGAACAAGUCAAAGAUCUUGAGAAGGCAAGUGAAGUGUGGACAAGACUAGAAGAAACCUAUGAGGGCACUACAACAAUAAAAAGGGCCAAGUUGUACAUGCUCAAGGACAAGCUAUCCAACUUCAAGAUGAAGGAUGAUGAGUCAAUCCCGGAGAUGUUCUAUAGGCUCUAAGUCAUCAUCAAUGAUCUCAAGGGCCUUGGUGAGAAAGUGAAGGAUGAGGACUUCAUUCACAAGUUCUUGAUGUGCUUGCCCAAGAGGUUCAAGACAUUGAGAACAAUCAUCUUUAGAGGUGGAUUGACAGGUGUAUCUCCAAAUGAGGUACUUGGAGAUGUCAUGACCGAAGAUCAAUACAAUGACAAUGAUGAUGAUGAGGUCAUGAAGAAGGAUGAUGAUGAUAAGAAGAAGAAGUGUGUAGCAUUCAAAGCUAGCUCUUCAUCCAAGAGCAAGAACAAGGGCAAGGCCAGGAAGGAAGAAUCAAGUGAUGAGGAGUGCUCCAAUGAUGAUAGUGAUGAUGAAGCACUAGCACUCUUUGUCCGCAAGUUUGGCAAGAUGAUGAAGAAGAAUGGCUAUCAUACAAGAAAGAGAAGAGACAACUCCAAAAACACAGAAUAUUUGAGGCUAUGCUACAAGUGCAAGAGCCCCGAUCAUAUUGUGGCAGAUUGUCCAUACAAUAGUGAUCAUGAUGAGCAUGACAAGAAGAACAAGAAGGAGAAGAAAGAAAAGAAGGACAAGAAGAUGGUCUUCAAGAAGAAGAAGAAGGUUGGAUCCUAUGUUGUGACAUGGGAUAGUGAUGCUUCUUCGGAAGAUGAUUCUAGUGAUGAUGACAAGGCAUCCAAGAAGAAGGCGCUUGAAAGCAUUGUUAUCAACAAGCCAUCACUCUUCAACAGUACUUCAUGCUUCAUGGCCAAGGGCCAUAGGGUACAAUAUGAUGAGAGUGAAAGUGAAAGUGAACAUGAACAUGAUAGUGAUAGUGAUGAUGAAAAUGAAUUCACUAAUGAACAACUCAUGGACAUGUUUGAGCAAGCCGAUUCACUUAUUCAAUCUAAAAACAAGAAGUGCAAAGAAUUGGCCAAGAAGUUAAAAGCUCUUGAGCAAUCCUUUGAUGAGCUCAAUGCUAAUCAUGAGAGGCUAGUGGAAGCCCAUGAGAAGCUUGGCAAGGCUCACACCAAGCUUGAGAAAGCUCACUCCUUGUUGUUAGAAGAGAACAAGGAAAAUGUUGUUGUUUCAUGUGAUGUGGGCACAUGUGACUUAAUUAAGGAAUCACCCAACCCACCUAUUGUUGUUGCCACUAACUCUUCUUGUAGGUCUUCAUCCACCACCACCAACUCUACCUCCACUUGUAGUGUUAGUAUCACUUGUGAUGCUUCACUAAAGGUUGAGAAUGAGACUCUCAAGAGAGAGGUGGAGGAGCUCACUCAUGCCCUAGGCAAAGCCUAUGGUGGUGACGCCCGCUUGCUAAAGUGCUUGGGUAGCCAAAGGUUUUCUCUAAACAAAGAGGGAUUAGGCUAUACCCCCAAGAAAGGCAAGGUGGCCUUUGCAACUCACAAGCCUAGCUUUGUGAAGAGCAAUGGUCAAUAUUGCAAUAAAUGCAAGCAAGGUGGGCACCUAGAGCUUAAUUGUAAUAAAAUAAACAAGAACAAGAAAAUUGCUAAUGUACCUUACAUUCCUUUUGAUUCUUGUUAUGUGCUUACCAAGGGUGAGAAGGGUGUGCAUGCUAAGUUUGUUGGUACACCAAUUGUGGGUCCAAAGAAGAAGGCCAUUUGGGUACCAAAGAGCUUAGUCACUAACCUCCAAGGACCCAAACAAGAAUGGGUACCUAAGAAACAUUGAUUUGUUUUGUAGGUAAACUAUAAAGCCGGAGGAAGGCAUUGGGUGCUUGAUAGUGGGUGCACACAACACAUGACCGGUGAUUCAAGAAUGUUCAAUUUAAUCAAUCCAAAUGAUGAUCAUGGUGUUGAUAGUAUCACAUUUGGUGACAAUGGCAAAGGAAAGGUCAAAGGGCUUGGUAAAAUUGCUAUAUCCAAUGACUUGAGCAUUUCCAAUGUGCUACUAGUAGAGAGCUUGAACUUCAACUUGCUAUCCGUAGCUCAACUUUGUGAUCUUGGUUUCAAAUGCAUAUUUGGAGUUGAUGAUGUAGAGAUCAUAAGUGUAGAUGGCUCUAACUUAAUAUUCAAAGGUUUUAGAUAUGAGAAUCUAUACUUGGUUGACUUCAAUGCUAGUGAAGCUCAAUUGUCAACAUGCUUGCUCACUAAAUCUAGCAUGGGUUGGUUAUGGCAUAGAAGGCUUGGUCAUGUUGGAAUGAAACAAUUAAACAAGUUAGUGAAGCAUGAUCUUGUUAGAGGCUUGAAAGACGUCACUUUUGAGAAAGACAAGCUUUGUAGUGCAUGUCAAGCCGGAAAGAAAGUUGGCAACACUCAUCCAAAGAAGAGCAUCAUGAGUACAUGCAAGGCAUUUCAGUUGUUGCACAUGGACUUAUUUGGACCAACCACAUACACAAGCAUUGGUGGAAAUAAAUAUGGAUUUAUGAUAGUGGAUGAUUUCACAAGAUACACAUGGGUAUUCUUUCUUAGUGACAAGAGUGAUGCUUUUGCAACCUUCAAAUCAUUUGUCAAGAGAAUACACAAUGAGUUUGAAACAACCAUCAAGAAAGUGAGAAGUGACAAUGGAAGUGAAUUCAAGAAUACAAGAGUCGAUGAGCUUCGUGAUGAAUUUGGCAUUAGGCAUCAAUUCUCAGCCAAGUACACUCCACAAACAAAUGGUCUCGUAGAGAGAAAGAAUAGAACCUUGAUUGACAUGGCAAGAUCAAUGUUGAGUGAAUACAAUGUGAGUCAUUCCUUUUGGGCCGAAGCAAUCAACACGGCUUGCUACUAUAGCAACCAACUCUAUUGUCACCCAAUGAUGGAGAAGACACCGUAUGAGCUCUUGAAUGGUAGAAAGCCCAAUAUUGCAUACUUUUGGGUUUUUGGUUGCAAAUGCUACAUAUUGAAGAAAGGCACUAGACUGAGCAAAUUUGAAAAGAAAUGUGAUGAAGGCUUCUUGCUUGGUUACUCUCCUACUAGCAAAGCUUAUAGAGUUUGGAAUUUGGCUAGUGGUACUCUUGAGGAAGUGCAUGAUGUUGAGUUUGAUGAAACCAAUGGUUCUCAAGAGUAAGAAGAGAAUCAAGAUGACGUGAGAGGCACUCAAUUGGCCGAUGCAAUGAAGAAUAUGGACAUUGGUGAUUUGAGGCCUAGAGAGGUGAUUGAUCUUGAAGAUGACAAAGAUCAAGUGCUUCCUACCUCUAAUGUGCAAGCUAGUGGUUCUCAUGAUCAAAAUCAAGCUAGUACAAGUGGUAUACAAGUGCAAGAUCAACAAGAUAGUACAUCAUCUCAUGAUCAACCAAGUGCAAGCAAUCAAGUGCAAAUACUCCAACCAACAAAUAUUGCAAGAGAUCAUCCAUUGGAUCAUAUCAUUAGUGACAUUCAAAGAGGAGUGCAAACUAGAUCAAUAUUAGCAUCAUUUUGUGAGCAUUUCUCCUUUGUGUCUCACAUUGAGCCAAAGAAGAUUGAUGAAGCAUUGAGAGAUGUUGAUUGGGUUAAUGCUAUGCAUGAAGAGCUUAACAAUUUCAAGAGAAAUCAAGUAUGGGAAUUAGUUGAGAGGCCUAAUGAUCACAAUGUCAUUGGUACUAGAUGGGUCUUUCGCAACAAACAAGAUCAAGAUGGGAUAGUUGUAAGAAACAAAGCAAAAUUGGUAGCACAAGGCUAUGCUCAAGUUGAAGGUCUUGACAUUGGUGAAACAUAUGCCCCAGUUGCAAGAUUGGAAUCAAUUAGGAUCUUGUUGGCCUAUGCUUGUGCACAUAAUAUCAAGUUAUAUCAAAUGGAUGUGAAAAGUGCAUUUCUCAAUGGUUAUAUCAAUGAAGAAGUCUAUGUUGAGCAACCUCCCGGUUUUGAAGAUGAUAAGAAACCCAACCAUGUUUACAAGUGAAGAAAGGCAUUGUAUGGUUUGAAGCAAGCACCAAGAGCAUGGUAUGAGAGAUUGAGAGACUUCUUACUCUCUAAAGGUUUCAAGAUUGGCAAAGACUUGUUUGUGUUGCAAAUAUAUGUUGAUGAUAUCAUAUUUGGAUCAACCAAUAAAGAAUUUUGUGAGGAGCUUGGUAACAUGAUGGCUAAUGAGUUUGAGAUGUCGAUGAUUGGAGAGCUUAGUUACUUCCUUGGUCUUCAAAUCAAGCAAUUGAACAAUGGCACAUUUGUGAGUCAAGGCAAGUACAUAAAAGACAUGCUCAAGAAAUUUGGUAUGGAUGAUGCAAAGGCAGUUAGCGCUCCAAUGGGAACAAAUGGAAGCCUAGAUAGUGAUACAAGUGGAAAUAUGAUGGAUCAAAAGUUGUAUCGGUCUAUGAUUGGAAACCUACUCUAUGUGACUGCAUCAAGACCGAAUGUUAUGUUUAGUGUAUGCAUGUGUGCAAGAUUUCAAGCCUCACCAAGAGAAAGUCAUUUGAAGGCAACAAAGAGAAUAUUGAGGUACUUAAAGCAUACACAAAAUGUUGGUUUGUGGUAUCCCAAAGGUGCAAAGUUUGAACUUGUUGGAUAUUCCAACUCAGACUAUGCGGGAUGCAAAUAUGAGAGAAGAAGCACAUCGGCACAUGUCAAUUGUUGGGAAGAUCACUUGUCUCAUGGUCAUCCAAGAAACAAAAUAGUCUUGCACUAUCAACCGCCGAAGCGGAGUACAUUGCGGCCAGUAGUUGUUGUGCACAAAUCCUAUGGAUGAAGGCAACUUUGAAGGACUUUGGAAUCAACUUCAAGCAAGUGCCAUUGCUAUGUGACAAUGAAUGUGCCGUGAAGCUCACCAACAAUCCGGUUCAACACUCAAGAACAAAGCAUAUAGAUGUCUGCCAUCAUUUCAUAAGAGAUCAUCAACAAAAAGGGGACAUUUGCAUUGAGAGCAUAGGCACCGAUGAUCAACUUGGCGAUAUAUUCACCAAGCCACUUGAUGAGAAGAGGUUUUGCAAGCUAAGGAAUGAAUUGAACAUACUUGACUUCUCAAAUAUGUGUUGAUGCACCCCCACUAUAUGACGUGCGUCUCCUUCGAGCAAAGCAAGGUAAAAUUGUUUGACAUGUCAUUCAUCCUAUGCUAAGGACUUGUUUAGUGCAUCUAGUCAUUCCUUACAUGUAUUAGGAUCAUUCAUGAAAAUCAAAUAAAUUUGAUGCUUGUAUGGUACCACUAUUGCUUCUAUGCUUGACUUGAUCUAGUGGUAGCAUAUGACAUAUUUGUGGGCUUGCAAUCCUAGUAUUUGAUCUAGAAUAUGAGCUAUAAGUGUUUAACUCAACAUGGUACAAGAUAACCCUUAUUUGGAGGUGUGAAGAAGCUUGUCCUUGGAUCAAACGGAGUUAAAUAUCUUAGGCAAAGUAAUCUAGAUUGAACCAAUUUGGCAAAAUGAUCUCACUUCACAUGGUCUCACACUAACCUAUCUAAAAUUUGAGGUCACCUUUUGGGGUCAUUGAUGACAAAGGGGGAGAUAAUUUCCCAAAGAUUUAAGAUAGGGGAGUAACAUAAUAAAAGAAGGGGAUCAAUUAAAAUUUCGAAGCACACAAGUAUGGGGAGCAAGCUCAUAAACUUGUAUGUUGCAUUUGUAUGUGCAUCACAUAUGGUUGCUUGCAUUUGCAUUAGCUUUAGAAGCCUUCUCUCCAAUGCCUUGCUUGUGUGGUGUAUGCUAGUUGUAGGUUUGAUUGAUGAAAUGAAGAACUAGCAUGCAUAGGUAGUGUAACUAGACCUUUAGUUGUUUCACAAGUGGUACUAGAACCUUGUUUAUAAUGUUGAUCUCACGGGGUGUUCUAGUUUUGUGAAUGUCUAGUUACUAAUGGUGCUAAGGAUGGUAUACAUUGGCAACUCCGUUUGGUAUCACGCUUCAAAGGUCCAUUCUUUACACCUUAGCAUCAUAUGGUAGAAAUUGUCUCCUAUAUUUCCUAUUCAAGCAUAUGUGCAAGCUUUCAAAUCCAAACUCUUAGCACAUAUGUAGGGGGAGCAAUUGCUACCAACUUGGGUUCAUGAAACUUGUCCAUAAUCUUUGCACUUGGUAAAAUGCUUGGACAAGAAACAUAAAUCUAAGAAAAUUUUGUUGAAAAUCUAUGUAAAAAGGGUUGUCAUCAAUUACCAAAAAGGAGGAGAUUGAAAGCCCUAGUUUGGUUUUGGAUAAUUGAUGAAACCCUAGUACUAACCUCUAUACUAAGUGUGUGUAGACUUAAUGAGGUUGGUACAUGCCAAGUGAUGGAGCAAAUAUUGAUCAUGGUGAUGUUGGUGAUUGUUGAUGGUCCUUAAGUAUCAAAUAUAAUCAACAAAUAAACAAAGAAAAGGACCCAAAUGCAACCGAUAACCAGACUUAGGGUUUUAUCUGACAGAAUUCCACGAGUUUUGGUGUUUGUCUAUUUCUGCAGGGGGUUAUCAGAAAAUAUGUAAGAAAGGCCCACACGUCGGGUUUACAUAGAGAUAUUAACGUGCCGCGCAAUUAUCUAACAUCUAGAAGAGUCUAGAAGCCACGGGAACAAACGGAAGGCCGAUCGGGCCCAGGGGCAGGGCGCCCGCACUCCACCCUUGGGCGCGCGCCCACCUUUGGUGGCCAAUGUUGACGGUCCUUAUGUAUCAAAUUUAAUUAUCAAAUAAAUAAAGAAAAGGAUCCAAAUAAAAUCAACAUCUAGACUUAGGGUUUUAUCUGAUAGAAUUCCAUGAGUUUUGGUGUUUGUCUAUUUCUGCAGGGGGUUAUCAGGAAAUACGGAAGAAAGACCCACACAUCGGGAUUACAUAGAGAUAUUAACGUACCGCGUAAUUAUCUUACAUCUAGAAGACUCCAAAAGCCACGAGACCGAAGCGGAGGCGAAACAGGGCCUGACCCUGGGCGCCCACCAGUUGGUCAGGGUGCCCGCCCUGCCUCUGAGUCCAAUCAGGACUCUGCUUUGUGGGAGAUCUCCACCGACCUAAAGGAUGAAUCUAAACUAUACAAUCUAUGUCGGUUUGAUCCAAUGGCCCAUAUUCACUUGAAGGGACUAUAAAACCAGACCCCCUGGCCCCUGGAGGAGAGAGCCUCUCAACCCUAAUUCAUUGUUCUUCAAGGGAGAAGAAGCCUCUGAUCAAGAUUAGAGCCACCACAUCAAUUAGAUAUCUAGAUUAGCAUAGCUACAUAGGAUUAGAACUAGAAGGAGUCAAUCUUCAAUUGGUUUCCGGAUCUGUCAAGAGGAUUCUUGGUAAUUCUCUAAUUGUGCUUCUAAUUACUUUCUAAUUAUCUUUGUUCUUCAAUAUUAUGAAUAUGACUUUGUUCUACUUCAAUAUAUUGCUUAUGACUUUGCUCUACUUGCUUAUAUUCAAGAUUAUAUUGUUCUUAAUUUAUUAUAGUUAUGUACUUGGCUUAGUUAGAUUCGAUCUAUAUACAUGCUUAGGAUCGUAUAGCGUUUAUCCAUCGGAUCCAUGGGUAAAUGAUAGAUAUUGUGUAAGCGUGGUGCUUAUACCGUAUUUAUCUGCGAUUGUACCCAAUAUGCCAGAUCGUGGGGUGGUUCGUGAUAGUGACAGCUUCAUUGAUUCUUAUAUAGUCCUCCUCUCGUGUUUUGGGCUGGUAGAGCAACAUUAUUACAGGGGAGUGAUUGCUAUGUUUCUCAUUUACCUUGCUAAUAUCACUAUGCAUGGGCGUAGUCUUGUCUCGCAAUGAUUGCUAAGUAUGCUUGCACUAACUAUGAUAUGCUAGACUAUAUAGUUAAGAAUAACUUAGGAAAUAUUCUUGUAGUUCGUUCUAAUACCAUGCUAAUGACUUUCUAGAGUAUCUAAUUGAGGUGCUUCUCAUAUUUAUUAUGUGGCUAGAUCAGAUUAGUUAUCCUUGUCACUAUUAUUAUUUCAUAUAUCUUUUAUGUGACACUUAUCCCUGUAUGAAGAGUUAGAUAAAUGUUCUCAAUUAUACAUGCAAUCAUAGAUGCUCAAUCUCAUAUCCUAUUCUGUAAUCAAUAGUGAUGAUUGCUAAUCCCUUCCCAGUGGUAAAAAUAUAAAUAACGAUACUUGGAAUACUUCUCGGUUAAAAUGCUACAUCGGUAUUAAUCUGUGCGCUUGCAGAUCCCAUUCAUUAUUUAAUUAGAAGAGCAAUUGCAUAUUUCAAUACCGCGUCUCUUACAUCAUGCUGGGGAUGACAACUUGGCUUAAGUGGUGUGAGGGAUAGGUUUGGCAUUUUUGGCACCAUUACUAGAUUUAGAGAACUUAGUCUACUUUUGGUAAUGAUGUUAAGAAUACCCAACAAGCAUUUUUGGCGCCGUUGCCGGGGAAGGUUGAUUACUAAUCAGGAAUAGAACAAAAGAUUUUGAGUUAUCAUUCGCAUCACUAAUAUGAUUGAGCUUAUCUAUUCUCUCAUACAGUUUUACCCCGAUAUUUUUCUAUUUUAUCUUAUGCAGGGGAAUGUAUGAAUAGAAGACAUCUUCCAGGAAAUUUUGUUGACAAUCCCGAAGCAUUAUUCAAGAAGACGAGAGCAAAGCUCAAGAAGAGAUCAUCAACACUUCAGCAAGAAGCUUCAUCCAAUCAAGAAGAUCACCGGAACUUGUCUUCAGAGUUCGAGGCCAUGGCGAACAAAUCAAUCCGCGAGUUCUCAGCUCCCACCACGGACAACAUCCGCACUGGACCUGCUGCAGAGAUCGACGGCAACUUUGAGCUCAAGCCUGGACUUAUCAACAUGGUGCAAUCCAACCAGUUCUGUGGGAAGGCACAUGAAGAUGCUAGUGCUCAUUUACAACACUUCCUGGAGAUUUGCAACACAUUCACCAUAUCAGGAGUUUCCAAAGAUGCUAUACUACUUCGCCUCUUCCCAUUCUCACUGUUAGGAAGAGCGAAGCAGUGGUUCUACGCUACAAAGGAGAAGAAUACUACGUGGGCACUCUGCUCAACGAACUUUCUGGCAAAGUUUUUUCCCAUGGGCAAGACCAAUGCUCUCCGUGGGAAGAUUACAAGUUUUCAGCAACAAAAUGAUGAAUCUGUUCCAGAAGCAUGGGAGCGCUUUCAAGACUACAUCCUAGAAUGUCCCCAUCAUGGAAUGGAGAGUUGGCUAUUGAUGCAGACGUUUUAUCAUGGGCUCAGCAACAGUGCCCGAGAGACCAUGGAUGCUGCAGCUGGAGGAGCAUUCUUAUCACUUACUAUACCACAAGCCACAGCUCUUGUGGAGAAGAUGGCGUCCAAUCAAAGCUGGAAUAAAGAGAGGACCUAGACACGCAAGAGAGGUGGAGGUAUGCAUCAGCUGAAAGAGGUAGACAUGUUGUCUGCAAAACUAGACCUGCUCAUGAAGAAGCUCGAUGAUAGAGCUGGAGACAAGAAGGAAGUUAUGCACAUCUACGACUCUCACAUGACUUGUUAGGAGUGUGGAGAUACUGGACACUCAGGCUACCACUGCCCUGAGAUACUUGAGGAUGUGAACUACAUCAACAACAACUACUACUACUACUACAACCGUCCUCAACAAAAUCAAGGUUGGAAUCAACAGAGACCUAACUACUCAGGUAAUUAUCAAGGUAACAAUUCUUACAACAACAAUAAUAAUUUUCCACCUUUGAGAGAGUUAGUGUCUAAUCAAGGAAAGCUAAUGGAUAACCUAUCUAAGAAAUUGUCAUCUAAUGAUAAAAUGUCAGAAAAUAUAAAUAAUAGAAUGGAUAAUUUUUCUUCUGCCAUCAAGAAUCAAAUUAGCUUUAAUAAAAUGAUUGAAUCUCAGUGAAAUCAAAUAGCUGCUGCUGUUCCUACUACUAACCCCGGUAUACCAUCACAACCGGAAGGAUUAGAAUCUGCAAAUCUUGUAGACAUGUUUGAUGCAGGUAAUUGGAGUAACCCCGUCACUGAAUUCUCUACAGACCUUCUGCCGGUCAAGAGAGGCGAUCCGGGAUGCCCCGUCAUCCCGAUCUCCAUCGGCAUGGUGGACGUUCCAGAAGCACUCUGCGACUUUGGCUCUAGUGUCAACAUUAUACCCAGGGUACUCUAUGAAAAAUUCUUUACAUAUCCUUUAUUAGAAACAACCAUGUGUUUGCAGUUUGCAGAUCAGACGAUAACUUUCCCAAAAGGAAUAGUGAAGAACCUUUGUGUCCGAGUUGGUACCUUAUAUGCCCCAGCAGACUUCGUAGUGGUAGAGACCGGUAAUGAUGAGAGAGCACCCUUCAUCCUAGGGAGGCCAUUCUUGAACACCACGGGAGCUAUCAUCUACGCUAGUGCUGCUAAAAUCAGUUUCUACGUCGAAGGGAGGAAGGAGACAUUUUUCUUCAAGAACAAGACUACACAAAUUCCAGAUCAAUCCAGACGUGAAUCAAGGAAGAGGACCAACAGGAGGAACAGGAACAAGCAAGUGUGGACCGAGUCAGCUAAGAUGGUCACUAUAGUUCAUGGAGGCCAAGACCACCAACUUAAGUCACCGCUUUUGACCAAGAAGGACGACCCAGGAAUGCCAAGCAUCUACUGCUCCAUAAAUGGAUACAACUUCUACAAGGCGACUUGUGACACCGGAUCAGGCGUCAACACAAUGGCCGCAGUCACCUAUCGGCUCUUGUUCGGAACCAUGCCACUAAGACCAACGUACAUUCAACUCCAGAUGGCAGAUCAGACAUUUCGAGAAGUUAAAGGAAUAGUAACUGAUGUCCCAGUCAAAAUAGACGAUCACUUUGUCUACACAGACUUUCAAGUUAUUGACAUGGGAGAAGACGAGUAUGAUCCACCCAUCAUCCUUGGAAGACCGUUUCUCAGCACCGUUAAAGCAAUUAUCUACAUUGGAACCGGCGAAGUCCAUAUGCACUUCCCCUCCGAGAAGGUACGCCGUUAUUUUACUGACCCUAACUAUAUCAUUGAAGAAUCUAAGCUGCUAAGAAAGCGACGCAACCGCAACCAGAAGAGGCAGAUCAUCAAGGACGGAUGGGCAGACUAUGAAGGAGAAGUUGUAAGGUCAGAAGACGUUGAGUUUAAAUAGAAUUAUCCAGAGGAGAUCGAAGCACCAAGUCAGGUGUGGAAAAUGAAGAUAACUAUACAUGAAGAGGAGGCGCUACCGGAAGUACCGACUACGCCACCCAACGAACCUCAGGACGAUUAAGAAAACGGAGAGUCCCGUUCGGAAGACUUAAAAACACCGAACGCCUUGCCAAGAGGUAAACUUGGUAGUUAUACUUUCCCUUUCAAUUAUUUUAAAUAGUACUUAGUUAAUCAUGUAAAUGCUAUCCUAAAAAGAAAAUAAAAAUGUGAAAAAUAGUAAGCCCCAUGUGAGUAGACGAGUGGCAUAAAACCCAUAAGUACAUUCACUGUGGUGGCAUAAAAAUAAAAUAAUUAUUUUUCUGCUUUAUAAAAUAAAAAUAUAAAAACAGGGAGUAAAAUUUAUUAAGGAGUCUCAACAUGAUAAGGGCUAGAUAUUUAUGCUAACACUUAAUCAAGUUCCACAAGCUUUGUUGUCUAUUUGAACUCCACAGAAUUUAAGAAUCAAGAAGACAGGUAGACGGAGGACAUUCUAAUCGCUGUCAGAAUGCUGCUGACUUUCAAAUACACCUCUGCACCUGCUAGCUACAUCAAGGGAAAUUACGUCAAAAUUCAGCUUGGGGGAGAGCACCCCCAUUUAUCUCGAUAAGUAUUUCUAUCUAUCUUUAUACUUAUAUUACUUUAGAAUAUAAAUACACAUAAACUAUGGAAAACCAAAUAAAGAGUUUGCGCUUAUAUAUAUAUAUAUAUAUAUAUAUGUAUAUAUAUGUCUUUUGCUUAGUGUGUUUAAUAAAUAAAUAAAGUGGCUAUGCUAAUCUGUAUCUUAACAAUAAAACUUAAGCAUGGAUAUGAUGAAUAGUUGCUCUGCCUAAUUUGCACAUUUUAAGUUCUCUCUCAAGUUUAGACAUAACUGUUAUAAUUUAAAUCUUGCUCUAGACCUAAACUUGUGGGAUGAAAACUUGAUUUGAAGUCUAAGUUGUUAACGGAUACGAUAUGGGAAGGUUGAGCUGCUGUUUAUCUGUUCCUAGAGAUGCUAGGAUUCUGGAGAAUUUUAUCUUUAAAAUGUUGCAUGAUGAGUUCCUGUAUGAUGAGAGUUUAAAUUCCUACCACAGCCAUAUAUACAUGCUUGCUAGACUUUGAGCCACACAUUUAAUAUUUACUACUUAUGAGCAUUGAGUGUGGUCAAGCUGUGUAGACCCUUAGGAGCUUGUCAUGUGGUUAAAUCAAGAUUUCACUUGCACGUUCACUCAUAUAUGCUACUUCUACUCCGGAAGUAUCAUCCACAUAUAUCCAUCCAUUUCCAUCUCCAGAAUCACCCAAAAAUAUUCUACACCUAAUCCGGGAGAGAAUGACCAAAAAUAUUUUUGUUUUUCCCUUGUGAAAUAAAUGCUCAAGUUAUCUUGUUACUACCACUUGCUAUAUUAUCUCAAGAGAUGAGUGCUCUAAAAAAAAGAGAAGAACAAAUAAUAAUACGAGGAAAUAAAAGGAGCAAGUGCUCGGAACCUCGAAAUAAAAAGCAAGGAAGGUAUGUAUCCCCUCAAAGAGCAAAGUAGAAUUAGACUUCCACCACCAUUGUUUUCACCAUUGUUAUCACCAUCAUCACCAUACACCAUUCAUUCGCCACACAUGCAAAUCUUGAUUUGGCUUAUUGAUUUGUUUCUUUGGAUCCAUAGUUUGACUAUGCAAUAAAUGUCUUGUAAGUAUGUAUAUUUUAUCUCUCACCUAUGAGCUCCAGAUAUUAAAGCCUUAUUAGAGUAGGGUGAGAGAGAAGAUGAUGUCACUAUGCUUUAUACCACAAAUACUAGAUAUCUUGAGAGAAGGCAUAUACCAUCACUGCCUUGGUAAGGAUCCAGAAAUACCACAAAAGAGAGAUCUGAGAGAGUCAUACAAGGAAUCUCUGAGUUUUAUUUGAAAAUCUGCAAAAACCCCAGAGCUAUAGCUGAUCAAGAAUAAGAGACAUGGCACUUGGCUAGACUGUUCUAUCUUUUAACCACUCAAGACAGAAGUGACAGUUACAAGUCCCAUGGUGAAGGUAAAGUAAGUAAGUUUUAUGUCUUGACAGUUUACUCUAACUCAGAGAUGAGAUCUUAUUUAAAAAAAAGCAUGUGUACCGUCAAUUUUUAAAGAUAUUGCAACAACUUAUGAUCCAUAGCUGAGUCUAUCCUUGCUCAGGGACGAGCAAGAGGUAAGCUUGGGGGAGUUUGUUGACGGUCCUUAAGUAUCAAACUUAAUUAUCAAAUAAAUAAAGAAAAGGAUCCAAAUAAAAUCAACAUCUAGACUUAGGGUUUUAUCUGAUAGAAUUCCACGAGUUUUGGUGUUUGUCUAUUUCUGCAGGGGGUUAUUAGGAAAUACGGAAGAAAGGCCCACACGUCGGGAUUACAUAGAGAUAUUAACGUACCACGCAAUUAUCUUACAUCUAGAAGACUCCAGAAGCCACGAGACCGAAGCGGAGGUGAAACGGGGCCUGACCCUGGGCGCCCGCCCAGUUGGUCAGGGCGCCCGCCCUGCCUCUGAGUCCAAUCAGGACUCUGCUUCGUGGGAGAUCUCCACCGACCUAAAGGAUGAAUCUAAACCAUACAAUCUAUGUCGGUUUGAUCCAAUGGCCCAUAUUCACUUGAAGGGACUAUAAAACCAGACCCCCUGGCCCCUGGAGGAGAGAGCCUCUGAACCCUAAUUCAUUGUUCUUCAAGGGAGAAGAAGCCUCUGAUCAAGAUUAGAGCCACCACAUCAAUUAGAUAUCUAGAUUAGCAUAGUUACAUAGGAUUAGAACUAGAAGGAGUCAAUCUUCGAUUGGUUUCCGGAUCUGUCAAGAGGAUUCUUGGUAAUUCUCUAAUUGUGCUUCUAAUUACUUUCUAAUUAUCUUUGUUCUUCAAUAUUAUGAAUAUGACUUUGUUCUACUUCAACAUAUUGCUUAUAACUUUGCUCUACUUGCUUAUAUUCAAGAUUAUAUUGUUCUUAGUUUAUCAUAGUUAUGUACUUGGCUUAGUUAGAUUCGAUCUAUAUACAUGCUUAGGAUCGUAUAGCGUUUAUCCAUCGGAUCCAUGGGUAAAUGAUAGAUAUUGUGUAAGUGUGGUGCUUAUACCGUAUUUAUCUGCGAUUGUACCCAAUAUGCCAGAUCGUGGGGUGGUUCGUGAUAGUGACAGCUUCAUUGAUUCUUAUAUAGUCCCCCUCUCGUGUAUUGGGCUGGCAGAGCAACAUUAUUAUAGGGGAGUGAUUGCUAUGUUUCUCAUUUACCUUGCUAAUAUCACUAUACAUGGGCGUAGUCUUGUCUCGCAAUGAUUGCUAAGUAUGCUUGCACUAACUAUGAUAUGCUAGACUAUAUAGUUAAGAAUAACUUAGGAAAUAUUCUUGUAGUUCGUUCUAAUACCAUGCUAAUGACUUUCUAGAGUAUCUAAUUGAGGUGCUUAUCAUAUUUAUUAUGUGGCUAGAUCAGAUUAGUUAUCCUUGUCACUAUUAUUAUUUCAUAUAUCUUUUAUGUGACACUUAUCCCUGUAUGAAGAGUUAGAUAAAUGUUCUCAAUUAUACAUGCAAUGAUAGAUGCUCAAUCUCAUAUCCUAUUCUGUAAUCAAUAGUGAUGAUUGCUAAUCCCUUCCCAGUGGUAAAAAUAUAAAUAACGAUACCUGGAAUACUUCCCGGUUAAAAUGCUACAUCGGUUUUAAUCUGUGCGCUUGCAGAUCCCAUUCAUUAUUUAUUUAGAAGAGCAAUUGCAUAUUUCAAUACCGCGUCUCUUAUAUCAUGCUGGGGAUGACAACUUGGCUUAAGUAGUGUGAGGGAUAGGUUUGGCAUUUUUGGCACCGUUACUAGAUUUAGAGAACUUAGUCUACUUUUGGUAAUGAUGUUAAGAAUACCCAACAGCCAAUCACGUUCAACCUCAUGGAUUAUGCUCCACCAACCUAAAGGAUCAAGGAGAACCGUUCAAUCAAUGUCGGUUUGAUCCGACGGCCCAGAUUCAUUUGAAAAGACUAUAUAAGCAAGGCCUCUCUACCCUAGGAGGGAGGAGAAAUCAUUAUCAGAGGAAGCCAUCAAAGUUAGGGUUUAGGAAUUUCUCUCUCACAGAGAAUUAGAAUUAGCUACUCCUAGUUCCUUCAAGUUCUAUAGGAUUGAUUAGAUCGGAUUAGAGAAGUAGAGCCUAGCGCUCUGGAUUCGGAUCUUCAUUAAUAAAGAUUGGUAUUAUUUCAUAUCUUUCUCUACUACUUUAUUCUAAUUGCAUUAUGUCUCUAUUUAUUAUGUUCUUAGUUCGCCCUAGUUCUAUAUUUGAUAUAGUUAUGAUUGAUAAUGAGUUUAUGUAUAAGUUUGCCAAGAGCUUAGCUCUUGACACGUGGGAGUUAUGUGGUAGAUCACAUGUGGGCGUGGUGCUUAGAUGUUAUUUACUUGCAAAUGUAUCCUAUUGGCCAGGUCGUGUGGUAGUUCGCGAUGGUGACAGCUUCGUUGAUUCUUAUAUAGUCCACCCUCCGUUGAUAGGAGAGGCAGAAUUUGUAUUGCGGAGUAAGUCUUGCGAUGUUCUGAUUUACUUUAGCAAUGUUCCUUAUACACGAAUGAAAAGUCUUUUAUGCUAUAUAUGAUCUUGUAGAUAACUAGAGUAGAUUGUGACUUAGUAGGUAGUAGAUAACUCAUAAUCCAUUCUCUAGCUAAUCCGACGUCACCUUACAUAUAUGAGGAGUAGUCUAUUUUCUAAUCGCUGUGUUAUUUACCCAUGAGCUUAUAUUUCAUUAUCAUUAUUAUUAUGGCUUACCCCCUGCCAAAGCUAGUGACUGUGUGACGAGUUUCUCAUUAGUAAUCAUGUUCUUGCAAGUUUAACUCUAGUCUAUGCCUUGAUAGAUUUUAUUUACCUCCACCGUUCUCUUAAGAAAAUUAUAAAUAACGAUACCGAGGAUACUUUUCCUAGUGAAAUGCUACAAUGAGAUAUUUUAUCUAUGCACUUGCGGAUAGAAUAGAUUAUUUUCUGGAGAGCCUUUAUAUUUAUAAAUACCUUUGCACACUCUGGCACCAUGCUGGGGAUGACAACCUAGUAUCCAAGUGGUGUUAGUAAGUGUCAACAAGCAUUUCUGGCGCCGUUGCCGGGGAGCGGUAAGGAAAGUGAGGAAGUCAGUCAAGGUUAUUCACAUAAAAUACUAGACUAGACUAUGGAGAAAUAAUUGCAUAAACAGCUACUAUAAAAAUGAGAAAUCAUAACAAGGCACCUCUGCUUUGGCAGGUUCACCCUGUUGUUUUUCUAUGUUUAUAUUUUUAUACAGGGUAUAUCAGGAUUGACUUUGGUACAUUCAACUCUUCAUCAUCAGAACCAAAGCAACCAAGAAAGAAAGAAGAAGCUAGCUACCAAUCGUUGAAGUUAUGGCACAAGAGACUCUAUGAGAAUUUUCUGCUCUAAGUAUUGAGAACAUUUUCACUAGUCUAGGACACGAAGCAAAAGAAGGAAAUCUUGAACGUCCAACCAAGCCUAGCCUCAUCCAUUUGGUACAAGUUACUCAAUUCAGUGGAAAGUCACAUGAAGAUGCUAAGACACACUUGCAGAAUUUCUUAGAGAUUACGAGCACAAUCAAAGUCGACGGAGUCAACCAAGAUACCAUACGGUUUUGUCUCUUUCCAUUCUCACUUGAAGGAAGAGCAAAGAAGUGGUUCUACACCAACAAAGAAGAUAUGAAUACUUGGACACACUGUUCAAAGGCUUUUAUAGCAAAGUUCUUCCCCAUAGGAAAAUUUACCAAAUCAGUUGCCUUAAGAAGAAAGAUCAUCGGCUUUCAACAACAAAAGACAGAAACCAUUCCAGAAGCAUGGAAGCGUUUUAAAGGAUACAUAUCAAAAUGUCCUCUCCAUGGAUUGCCCAGAUGGUUACUUAUCCAAACCUUCCACUGUAGAUUAACCCAAAAGGCUCGUCAGAGCCUAGACGCAAUUAUUGGAGGGUCACUUUUUGAACUUACACUUAGAGAAGCAGAAGACCAAGCUGGUUCCAAGAUAAAGUUCAACAUCAUUACCAAACAGAAGAAAUACUUGAAAAAUACCAGAGGACCACUGAGGCAGCAUACAAACAUCUCAAUAAUCAAGGUAUGAAAUCAGGUAAUUUAAAGCAACCUAUAUUAAUAGAGAUAUUUCUGCAAGAGCAAUAUAACUACAAAAAGAGGGAGAUCCACCAGAGAACCCCUAGUAAAGAAGAACCACUGGAGACACCAUCUCCAAAGGAAAAUAAUUCAAAAGAUUAAAAGAUUCGGAGGUCCAGCUUGGGGGACCUAAAAAUCCCAAACCCUCGCCGGGAGGUAAAUCGGUAUUUAUCCGCAUCAUUAAUUCUCUCAAAUUUAAUUCCUGCAUUAUCCAUAUUUAUUCAUAAGCAUUAUUAUAAUAAUCAAAAGCCCCAUAUAAAUAAUAUUUAUGGUAUGUGACAACCCAUAUUUAUUAAUUAUUGUGGAGGCAGAAAAAUAUUUUCCAUUAUCAUAAGUUUCAAUUCUCAUAGAUUUUCCUGCAUUAUAUUAUAGCAACCUUCUAGAAGCAUGACCCACACUCCUUGGGUCCCACAUCUCAUACACCAUAUCUUGUGAUCCACCAACAUGUUUCCACUCACCAGCAUUUUUCCACCGACCAACCACCACCCACUCAAUAUUAUUCUGCGUAAAAGCUAAGCAACGGAGGGAGUGGAGAAAAGGAAGCCAGGAUGGCCACCAAAGGUGGGCGCCCGCCCACCUACAGAGGGCGCUCGCCCUGCCCUUCCUUCAGCCUAUAAAAAGCCACCUCCUGCCUCCAACUUCUUCACACAAGCAUUCCAGAAAACCACGCAAGUUUUAGUUUCCAGAAAAGGAGCUCUUGUACUGAAGUGAGAAGGAGAGUAGAGGGGAAGCGAAGAGUGGAAGAGAGGUUGAUAGUUUUUCAGUGAGAACAAUGUUCAUUAGUAAGUAGUGAUCCCGCUGUCCAAAGCGGAACUGAAAGUUGUUUAGGGGGAGGUGCUGCCAAAAUAAAAAGUUGUCUUGACGACUAACCCCUGGACUACUAACAUUUCGGACAGCUCACCACUAACAUUUUUCUCUCUCACAUUUUCCACCAGUUGUGUUUGUGUCAACUUUUGUCUGCAGGAUGUUCAAGAAGGUGAAGAACACGGGGAAGGCCCUCAAGAACAUUAGUACGAGGAGCUCGUCCCGACACUCCUCGCACCAGUCAGAGAUGAACGUUGGCCCGAUGCCCCCACAAGCUCCAUCAUUUUCAUCUGAUCCGCGAGACAAGGUCCUCCUCAAGACAGGAGACUUUGGACUGAAGACCCGUAGGGAGAAGGAAGUUUUCCAACAGCUAAAGAACAAGGUUUUCAUUCACACCCCCACUCUUGAUCCUAUCCUGCUACAAGAAACAGGUAUGGAUACUAAAUUUGACUUGAUUUUCUAGAGGGUGGGAUGGACAAAUUCUUGGGACAUAACUGAGCUAGGUUCCCGUCUUCUCACCAUUGAAUUUCUUUGCACUUUGCAAUAUUAUGAGGGGGGAAUCGCUUUUCGGAUGUUCAAACAGGACAUUAUGUUGUCUUGGAGAGAAUUGAGAGACCAUCUCGGUUUCUCUUCGAGAUGCAUCCUGGACAUUGACUCCGACUUGCCCAAUUUUGAGAGACACCAGUUCUGGAGAGAGAUAUCUAGGGAUGAGUUUUAUAAUCAAGCCCAAACCAGCGACAUGGAACACCCCACUCUUAGGAUGUUCCAUAAAUGGCUCGGGUACAAUUUUUUCCAUCGCGAUGAUAUCAGAAAAGUAAGAGUAGGAGAUUUACAACUUCUUUAUGCUGCAAUAACUAAAAUACCCACUUCACCUGUUACUCUUUUAGUUUCUCAUUGGCUUAGUAUACCUAGUCUCCAGGGACCUGUUGGUUGUACUUCACCCAUCACUCGUCUAGCUUCUAGUCUCAAUUUGCUAGAAAACUCGUCAUUGGAAUUUAUUGAUGAGUUACGAAUUUAUCAUGGCUAUGACUUAUUUAGGCAAGCUCGGAUGCUGAAUGUAAUGUAUAUGUUAUACGAUAAUAAAGGCAAGAUUUGGUUACCUAACCCGAACCUUGGCCUCUAUGUUGUUCAAAAUUAUUUGAUUGAGCUUGCAGUGGCACCGGUAAACCAAAAAGCUCCACAGCGAGUGGCAUAUGAAAGGAUGACCACCCAUCAAGAACACACCUGAUAUGGAGCUGAUCCCGGGCCGGAAGAAGAAACGUACCUGCAUUACCGCGACUACAACCCCCGAGUCCUUUGGGACCCAUGGGUUCGACAUGCUCAGCCGCAGGAGCUGAAACAGGAGACAUGACCGGAGUGCCAAGAUCACCAGUGGACAAACCCACUUUCUAGUACGGGCAGGUAUUCCACUGACCCAUAUUAAGCCUCAAGGUCUAGGCCCCAGCCCCAAUUCGAUGCAGGACGGUACUCCGACGCCUCUUAUGCUUUCACGAACGACUACUACCAGGAGGCUUGAAGGUAUAGUAACUAACGUCUCUAUCAAAAUAGACGAUCAUUUUGUCCAUACCGACUUUCAGGUUAUUGACAUGGGAGAAGAUGAGUACUGUAACAGAACCGCCCAAAUUAUAAGAGAUUAAGCCUAAUAGCGACCAUUUGUAUAGUCAAACCAUCGAGCUUAAGCCCAUAUAAUCCCUGUAGUCCAUGAAAUCUCGAAGAAUUUCAAGCCACAUAUCGUACAUACAGCCAAGAUCGUAAUAAGUUCAGCGGUCACCGUUCACAGUUACAUCCAGUUCGAAACCAUUCAUCGAAAACAUCGGAGUGCUUAAAGUUAUUACAAACCAAGUUCACAGGUAGCGGAAGCUUCAUAGUUGAAAAUAACACAAACACACUUAGUCUGAUACAGUGCCAUAGUUUUGGUCAUUCCCAGAAAAGCAAAAGAAGAGAAGGAGUGACCAUCGCCCUUGGUCUAGUCAUCACCCAUAGCUGGGUACAGGCAGAGGAUGCAAUAACCAUAGUACAUUUGACCAUCUGAAAAACAACAUGGGAGUAGAACCCUGAGUACAAGAAUGUACUCAGCUAGACUUACCCGUCAUAAACUCAAAAUAAAGACUCUUCAAGGAUCAUGAAGGCUAUAUAGUGGGGUAGCUGACAACCUUUUUUUGCAUAAUCGCAAGAUUCGAUUAACAUAACCUACAUAAAUCUUUCUUCUUUUAAUUUGCUCAAGUUGAAAGUAUCAUUACCUAUUAUCUAGGUUUGCACCUGCACUUUUACAAGCAAGUAUAGUGAUAUGAUGGUACCUCAUCAUAGCAUUCAUGAAACCAUUUCUCAUUAUAACCCAAGUGUUCCAUAAUCCUUACUACGAGGACGAAGCUCAGGUCAAGUGCUCACUGUCCAGGAGCGCUGGCGAUUCGAAUCGAUUUCUAACCAGCUGGCGAGUUUAUUCCCCACACAAACCACACUCACUGAUCAAGUGAGCUACAGAUCACCGUAUUGCACUAUCCAGGACCAAUUCGCGGGUUCGACAGGCACCGCCCGUACCCGAGGACCGUUCCGGUGACCGAGGUAUCCAAGGUAUACCAAGGUUGCGCGCCGUGCCCUCGUCGUUCCCCUCAACCAUCACCAAUACAGCGUGUACAUCGGGCCGAUUCCCGGCCCGGAUAAUGCUCAGGCUUCGCGGUCGGAAGGACUUAUCCUUCCAGCUAAAUGUGGGGCAUGCGUUCAACAUGACAAGAGGGCCGUCAACGAUCGGUCCUUAAUCGACACAGGCAGGGGCACUACAGUCACCCACCAUAAGACCCUGCCCGGUCUCAAAUUUCCAUUCCAUACUUGGUUAUUCUUUUCCCAAAGCAACCACCGCUUAAUCAAGCAGGUAUCCACCUAUAUCUCGUAGGUGACAGGAGAUCACCUGACUUCUACCGGGCUAAGCAAGCUAAGCACAGACUCCGUGCCUAUCUACAUAGGACAAGGCAGAUAAACGGAUGGUGAUAUCAAGGAGUACAUAUGCAUCAACGGUAUCAACCAAUUCCUAUCACUUAAAUGCAAUAUAGUAGAACAGGAAUAAUAUAUUAAUUAAGUUAGUGAGAAUAGGGAGACUUAGAAUGCUCCGGGGCUUGCCUUUCUCGAACGUGCUCGGCUUAUGAUCCGGGCACUCUUGCAGCUCUUCUCCGGGUUCCGGUGCUCCCAGAGGUUCCUGCUCCUGGAUCUCCACCGGCUCCUCGGGUCCCACCUCGUUCUCCUGCGAGCCUGUAUGGUGCAUGUAUGCUCAUGAGUGGAGUGCGAGAUGCCCGGGGUGCAAUGCUCAUGCGAGAGAAUACCAGAUGACUGUGACAUGGUGCAUAGAUGGAUUAGAUGGUCAUUUACAAGGUAGUCAACAUCAUCCAAGAACAUGCAAUUGAAUUAAACAUCUAUUGCAUUUUCUUCUACAAAUUGUCUUCAAGUGUAACCAGCAACUCACAAGAUGCUUCAAAGAUACACCAAACCCCUUUUAUUCUAUUUAACCUAUAUAUAACAAUUCAUAAUUUCUUUAUUCAUUUCUAGGCCCAUCAAAAUAGCAUGCAAUCCUGUUUAUCAAUAAAUUCCACAAAAAUUACAGGAGACUACCGGUCAAACAUAAAGUCCACCACAAAUUUUUUCAGAAUUUUUGGAGACUUACUUUGAGCUACAAAAAUUACAAGAUUAAUUCCUAAAGGCAAAUAAAAUUACCCUACUGUGGCAUGUGUCAAACAACAGAUUUCAUAUUUUUAUAAUUUGCCUAAUAUCAUCAGAAACACCCACAAAAAUUACCAGAUUAAUUGCAUGAUCCAAUUAUUUAUUAAAAAAUCAUAAACCACUGCCAUGCAAGCAUUUAAAUCACUAUAAAUUCAUUUAUACACUAAAUAAUGUGUAGCAACAUUUUCACAUUUUUCUAAGUCAUAUUUUAAUUACUAUGCAUGUUCCAAAUCCAGCAAAAACAUGGAUUAAAUAUAUUUAUACAGAAAAGUUAUUCAAAUAUGACAUGCAAUUACAUCAAACUGUAGAUCUGAGAAUAGAGAGCACACCAAAAUUUAUUUCACCAGAUUUGGAGCUGUAGAACUCAAGAUAUGGAUUUUACAAGUUUUAAAUCAAUUUCUGGAAAACAUUUAUUUAAGAAAAUUGACGCAAAAUGCUAAACUCACCCAGAUCCACACCCGCAGAGGCACUGACAGGUGGGAUCCAGGGCCGUGACCCCACGGGUCAGCCGUGCAACACACUGGCCGAGCUUCGGCCGACCGGCUUUCGCCGAUGGUGAGGUCUCCGGCCACGGGGUGAGCACCAGCGUGCUCCCCGCAGCGAGGCGCAUCCAGGGGUACCCUCGGAUUGGCCGGAGGAUGACCGGAACACCUCCGACGAGCGUGCAUGGCGGCACGGCGGCGCUGCUCGCCAUUGCCAGGCCGCUCCGGUGCGGUAGAGCGCGCGCAAACGACCCUCCGAGCUUCCUCACCUCACUACCGACCUAGCGCACCAAAGAACGAGCGAAAAGAGGCAGGGUACAGCAAGAUCCGUCGCGGCGGAGCACUUCGGUGAAGUCGGAGCAACUCCGGCGAGCGAUUCAUGGUGCACGGCUGCUUCUCACCUCGGUAGAGCGUACGCAGGGGCUUACCGCGCGACGGCGAGUGCGCUGGUGCUCUUGGCGUCGAGCUUGAAGCUCUGGUGCGGCCGGCGGUGAGCGGCGGGGCUUGCUCCGGCAAUGGCGCGCGGCAGAACUACUGCUGCUGCUGCACGGGCGGAAGGAUGAGGGAGAGGCGCGGGCGACAGAAUGGAGGGAGGGUUCUGGGGGCGCGGGUCGGCGUCCCGACCAGGGGGGUGGAGGUGGCCGGCCGCGGCGCGCCCAACGCCGGCGUAUGGCCGCCACGUGGCGGUCGCUGGAUGGGGCGAGGCGGGCACCGCACGCGGGAGAGAGAGGGGAGGGGGAGACAGGCCGGGCUGCUGGCUGGGCCGAAAGGGAGGCGGGGUUGGCCCAGCAGCGCAUGUCCCCUUUUCUAUUUUUUUUUGAAUUUCUUUUCUCAAAUUCUUUCUAAAUUCAUUUGAACUGUUUAAAAAUCAUUUUCACCUUUUUCUCCCAAAACAAAAGUUGUUCCAAAAUAAAAACCCUACAACUUUGUUUUAAUAAGCAAGAUCAAAUUCCAAAUAGAAUCUGAAUUACAAAAUAAAACUAGUUCUAGGUUUUCAAACAAAUUCAUUUUGGGGAAUUUUGUAUAAAUUCCAUUUCUCAAAUUCUAUGGCUCAAAAAUACUCUUAAAUCUUUUUGCACACAAGUCAACCUAAUUUGAAUAUUUCACAAUUUUAGAAGCAAACAUCAUAUUUUUAACACAUUUAAAUCAUAUAGAAUAAAGCACAUAAAAUCACAUUUUUGGAUGGAUGACAUGCUCAUGUGAUGCUAUGCUUGAUGAGAAUGCUUAUGCAUGCUUUGGUAAGACUAAGUGCAUGCUUAACACCUAGGGUGUUACAGCCCUUCCCCUCUUAGGGAAAUCUCGUCCCGAGAUUUGAGUUACUAAUCAUUUCUUAUGAAAUUUUGGAUAAACUGUUUUUAGAUAAUCCUCGGUUUCCCAGGUGGCAUCCCUAUCGUCAUGAUGACUCCACACCACCUUGUAUGUUUUGACAACUCUGUUUCGGGUUACUCGUUCCUUGGUAUCUAUGAUCCCCACUGGCUGCUCUUUAUACUCUAAGUCUGCUUUUAUUUUGAUCCCUCGAGGUUCAAUCCUCUACUCAGGUACUUUCAAACAUUUCCGUAGCUGGGACACAUGGAAGACCGAAAAGAUCGAACUCAACUCAACUCUUCAGGUAACUGGAUCUUGUAGGCCACGGGGCCUUUCCUCUCUAGUAUUUGGUACGGUCCCACAUAUCUGGGUGCAAGCUUGCUUCGAACUCGGAAACGCACGACUUUCAUCAUUGGCGUAACCUUGAGGUACACAUAGUCACCUAUAUUGAAUUCAAGUGGCCUUCUUCUCUUAUCAGCAUAACUCUUUUGUUGUGAUUGUGCUGCUUGCAUAUGCUGUUGUAUGAUUUGCACCUUUUUCUCCGCUUCGUUCACGAAGUCGAUACCAUAGUAUCUUCUUUCACCAGGUUCAACCCAAUUUAACGGAGUUCUACAUCUCCGACCAUACAACGCUUCGAACGGAGCCAUCUUGAUACUCUCUUGAUAGCUGUUAUUGUAUGAGAAUUCAGCCAGAGGUUACCAUGACUCCCAUGAACCCUUGGACGAUAGUACACAGGCCCUCAGCAUAUCUUCUAACACUUGAUUUAGCCUCUCAGUUUGACCUGAGGUCUGGGGAUGAUACGCGGUGCUUCGUAUCAGACUGGUCCCCAAACUCUUAUGCAUUCAUUCCCAGAAGUGAGCGGUGAACUGUGGUCCUCUAUCUGAUAUGAUGGUCUUGGGAAUACCAUGCAACUUGACAAUCUCAGCCAUAUAUAUAUUAGCAUAUUCGGGAGGUCUGUAUGUGUUCUUAACUGGAAUGAAAUGAGCCGACUUGGUCAAUCGAUCUAUGAUUACCCAAAUCGAGUCAUUCCCCUUCCUUAUCGUUGGUAAACCUGUGAUAAAGUCCAUGCUGACCUCUUCCCAUUUCCACUCUGGAACUGAUAACGGUUGCAACAGACCUGCAGGUUUCAUAUGGAUAGCCUUAACUCUGCAACACGUGUCACAACGGGCCACAUAUGCGGCUAUUUCUUUCUUCAUUUUGGUCCACCAAAAGUGGGGUCCUAGGUCUUGAUACAUCUUACUACUACCAGGAUGAAUAGAAAGCUUAGAGAGAUGGGCUUCAUCCAUGAUGCGAUUCUUCAAUUCACGAUCUUUCGGGACUACUAACCGAUGUUGAAACCACAAUACCCCUUUUUCAUCAACUCGAAAUUGAGUUUUUGGGUCAUCCUUGAUCUUCGCUUUGAUGUGGAAAAUACCCUUGUCUAUUUUCUGACCUUCCAUGACUUGACUCUCAAGUGAACAACUGAGCUGUAUGUGACACAAGACUUCAGGAUGCCUGAGAUUGAAACCAUCUUCAAACAACGGUUGAACCACUUGAUAUUGCGGUUUACGACUCAAAGCGUCUGCUACUACAUUAGCUUUGCCUGGAUGAUAGUGAACUUCCAGAUCAUAGUCCUUGAUUAACUCUAACCACCAUCGUUGCCUCAUAUUCAGCUCGGACUGAGUGAAGAUAUACUUCAAACUCUUAUGAUCGGUAUAGAUAUGACACUUAUUUCCCAGCAAAUAGUAUCUCCAAAUCUUCAAAGCAUGCACUACUGCUGCUAACUCGAGGUCGUGAGUUGGGUAGUUGCCUUCGUGCUUUCUCAACUGCCGUGAAGCUUAAGCUAUCACUCUGCCAUCUUGCAUCAACACACACCCCAAGCCACUUUUCGACGCGUCGCAAAACACACCAAAUGGCUUCUCGAUAUUGGGUUGCGCCAGAACGGGAGCGAUGGUUAGUAACUUUCGCAAGGUGCGGAAGGCUAGCUCACACCCCUCCGUCCAGACAAACUUAUGAUCUUUUUGUAGCAAACUAGUCAUCGCCUUAGCAAUUUUGGAGAAGUCGGGUAUGAAACGACGAUAAUACCCGGCCAGACCAAGAAAACUUCUAACUUCCGAGACAGAAGUUGGUGCCUUCCAGUCCAUGACUUCCUGCACUUUCGACGGAUCCACAACGAUCCCUUCUUCAGAUAAAAUGUGCCCUAGAAAAGGAACCUACUUCAACCAGAACUCACACUUGCUGAACUUUGCAUACAACUGAUGCUCUCGUAAUCGUGUUAGCACGAUUCUCAAAUGCUCGGCGUGAUCUUGCUCAUUUUCUGAAUAAAUCAGGAUAUCAUCAAUAAACACUACAACAAACUUAUCUAACUCUGGCAUAAAGACUGAAUUCAUCAGAUACAUGAAGUAUGCAGGAGCAUUCAUCAACCCAAAGGACAUGACCAGAUACUCAUACAACCCAUAUCUGGUGGAAAAAGCAGUCUUCGAGAUAUCUUGCGGGCGAAUCUUGAUUUGGUGAUACCCAGAUCUCAAAUCUAUCUUGGAAAACACUUUUGCCUUGGACAACUGAUCUAAUAAGAUAUCGAUCCUUGGCAAAGGAUACUUAUUCUUGAUUGUCACUGCAUUGAGUGGACGGUAGUCCACGCACAUGCGCAACGAUUGAUCCUUCUUUUUCACAAACAACGCCGAACAACCCCAUUCUGACGAACUUGGCCGGAUGAACCCUUUAUCCAGUAAUUCCUUUAGUUGAUUCUUCAACUUAGCAAGUUCAUCUGGUUGCAUCCAGUACGGCCUUCUAGAUAUUGGUGUUGUACCUGGUAUCAACUCGAUUGCAAACUCUACUUCCCUAUCUGGAGGAAGUCCCGGCAAUUCGUCGGGAAAAACAUCAGGGAACUCACAUACCACGGGUAUGUGUUCUAGUGGAACCACCUAUACUGCACAUGAAAGACUAGCGAAGUCUAACCAUCGGGGUAGCUUGACCUGAAGCACACCUUUCCCCUGCGGGUCUUUGAGGGAAAGAGUUCUAUUCCCGACAUCUAUAACUGCACCCCAGUCAGUCAUCUUAUUCAUCCCAAUGAUGACAUCCAAAACUAGACCUGGCAUGACCUCAAGGUUUACACGAAACCUUCGUCCACUGAUAUCCAAGGUAACUCCUGUUACUAUUUUGUUAGUCAACACAUCAGCCCCGGCUGAGCUGAUGCGAUAGCCAUGACCCAACUCAGUAACUGGCUGGUCAUGCUUUUGUGCAAAUGCUUGGCUCAUGAAUGAAUGCGAUGAUCCAGAAUCAAACAAAACAACUGCAAGAUGUUGGUUGACAGGGAACAUACCAGCUAUUACCGGUUCUCCUUCCGGGAUCUCCUCGAUCGAGGUAUGGUGCACACGAGCUGGAUAGGUUGGAUAUUGCCUCUUGGGGUAGGGACAUUCCUUGGCAAAGUGCCCCAUCUUGUGGCAGUUGUAGCACGGACCCUUGGGCGCAUUGUUGGCGGCAGGUGCCGCAGCUUGAAUUGCCUUUGGCUUGGCAGGAGCUAUCGCCACCUUGUACAGCUUCUGCUGCGUUGGAUGUCCGGUGUUCCUUCUCUGCGGCGGCCGGAACCUAGCACCUAGGGUAGGAGGACGAUACUGCUGUCGCCCCGCCAAUGGUGCCCUGGACUGAGACGACCUGGCCUCAAAAGCACUCUUACGAACUUGGAUGCACUAUAGUUGUUGUUGUUGUUUUCUUGGGUCAAACAGUCACUGAUAUAGGCAUUGAAGGUAGCCCUAGCUCCUGUACCCAUGGUCUUCAGCAUCUUUGGAUUCAAGCCUCUCUAGAAACUAGCAAUCUUCUUGGCCUCCGUGUUCACAAACUCAGGGGCGUAGCGAGUGAGAUUGUUAAAAGCGUGUAGAUACUCCUUCACAGACUUCGUUCCCUGAGACAGCCUCAUGAAUUCCCCAACCUUCAUUUCAACCACACCCAGAGGAAUGUAAUUUCCCUGAAAAGCGGUGGUGAAGUGGUUCCAGGUGAUUGGGGUCCCCUCUGGGUAGGUAGUACGGUGAUGAGACCACCAAAUCCCAGCGGGUCCCUGCAACUGGUGUGCCGCAUACUCUGCCUUAAGUUCUUCUAUCAUCCGAAGAAGACGAAACUUCUGCUCCAUGGUGUUGAUCCACUAAUCCGCCUCGAGCGGUUCCAAAGCCUCCUUGAAGACAGGUGGCUUGGUAUCCAUGAAGUCCUUGAAAGAGCUGUACUGAUUGACUUCACGACCGCCCUGGUUAUCCCCACGACGGGUGUUGUCCGCUAUGUUGCACAGGGCUUCUUCCAUAUUGCGCUGCAUUUGUUCCAUGUUGCGUUGACUCCCCAGAAACUGUGCAAAAAACACGUCCGCAGUGUACGGAGGAGGCGGUGGUGGUGGCGGUUGUUGAUGCAAAAACUAGUCUGCAAACACAAAGGGCUAAUACCCGAUCCAAACGUUAAGGCGUGCCAGCCGAUUUGACCUUACUAUCGGCAAAGGUGAUAACUCGAAUACUUUAGUCCUGACAACAGCGAUGCGCCCGGAUGUCACGGCUAAGAGGUACUCACGCGGAACUUGAGGAUACGCCGAGCUUGAGUCGACGAAUUCCUAAGAACUCGUAACAAAAAGAAAAUGUAUGACGAAGUCGUCGAAAAAGUAAAUGCUGGAAUAUGAGUAAAAACGUGUGUUUGAUUGAUUGAUAGAUGUUUUGAUUACAAGGUCCUAGGGCUUAUAUUUAUACCCUGCUCAAAGAGCUACGACCAGACACGAUUAGAAUUCGAAUUCCAAAUUACACGGAACCCGUAUACAAAACGAUGCGAAUAACUAAGGAAAUAAUAAAACCAUCCUUCGUGACAAACCGAAACUCCUCCACAUGACAACUGGCAGCUUCCGGACUCCUCCUUCGCGUCAUCGGCAAUCUCCUUGCCAUAGUCAUCGGCAGACCUUUUUACUUGGUCAUCGGCACCAUAUUACUGCCUGAGGACUUAGUCACAUUCAACCUUUCCCUCAUCGGCAACCAUCCUUAUCAGCAACCCGCAUCGUACUGCCACCCUAUCCUGCCAUCCUGGACACGUGCCCAAAAAUGGUGUCAACACAUGCCCCCCAGUUUUGGAGUAUAAAACUAUUAAUGCUCCGAAAUUCUCUGCAGCAAUGAUGUCUUCUCCGCAAUUAAUGCUCCUAAUCUGGUAACCGACAGCCUCAAUCUGGACAACUCUGAUCCUAAUCCUCCGCAGAUCCCUCGAAAUCCCCAACUUCCUAAACGGGCAUCCCUCUUAGUCGUACAUCGGCAACAAUACCGUUACAAAGAUCUGCCGAUGCUCUGCCCAGGAGAUUCGCAAAAACGGUUACCUCCCCUCUAUCCGCCCAUCGGCAGGACGACCGUUAUAGAAUAUCACCGAUGGACCGACCAGGAGAUCGCGCACAGUAAAAUAUCUUUAGAUAAUGACCGCUUCCUGUCAAAUCACCUGCACAAUCCCUGGAUUAUCGUGCGAACAGUUACCAUAUCCACUUGAGUACCCUCGGGCUUCUCGGAUGUGGCAAAGAAAUAAGUCAGAUUUGCCCUUGUCCAUCUUGUCCUAUAAAUAGUUCCUUCUUGGGUACUCCUCCCCCAUUGCAUCAUUCUGCCAUCCAACUUCACUUUUCCAGCGGCGGCGCCAUUCUCAAUCCUCAAGAUCUCCGACAAGCAUUCUUCUUCAUCAACUCCGGCGCCCUCCAGCGUCCUCUUCACGACAAGAUGGCCGUUGGCUUCGUCGUCCCUGAGGUCAGACUUCCAUCUCAUCUGCUGUACCUUUUUCUUGCAUUCCUGUUCAUCUGCGAUUCAUUCUUACCGAAUAUUUUCCUUUUCCUUUUUCUUUGUAUUUUUAUUCCCCAAAACACUAGGAGUUAUCCAACAAAAUUGUCAUCCCUACCGAUCAACCACAUCUUCAAUGCCUCGGCCCUCUAGGGGAUCCAGAUCCAACCGACCUUAUCAAUGUAGAAACCAACAGGAUUCCCUUUAGAGCUGAAAACUUUGCUUUAGAUCUAUGGAAAGACACCUUUCGCUCUUGGCCCAGCCCUACUGUAGGGUGGAAAGACUGGUUCUUGAGGGUCAGCAACUCUUAUGAAGUUCAACGGGGUGAGAGGAAAUUAGCUCAAUGCAUUAGGCUGUCCAUUGCCGAUAUGCACAGGAACGAGUCAUUGCUGAUAGCUGCAUCUUACUUUUGGUCAGACACUCUCAACGCUUUUGUUUUUGGCCACGGUCCUGCUUCUCCUACCCUUGCCGAUGUAGCCAUGCUUACUGGGUUAGAUAUAUCUUCUGCCGAUAGCACCCAUUUUUUUGAUACCGCCCCCAGUGCCAAAGUGGAGACUCGCGCUAUCGGCGGUUGGUCAGGGUACAUCCAGAAGUACCGCGGGAGAGGGCCUGUCACCAUAAAGGAACAAACCACCUUUCUGAACAUGUGGCUAGACAAGUUUGUAUUCUGUGGUCGAUCGGCAGGACCGACUUCUGUCUAUCGGCAGCAGAAAGACUGGCUAGCGGCGGCCAAUUUCCUCUCGGCCGUUAUUUGCUCGGCGCUGUUUAUCACCUGCUUCAUCAGGUAGUCCAGAAACUCCUGCUCGGCCAACCUAUCGGCAACUUGGGAGGUCCUUGGUGGUUUAUUAAUAUGUGGCUCAAUCUGCACCUGCACAAGCGCCUUGAUCUCAACUUGUUCUCACAGCACUUCCCAAGAGAUAUAGCCGAGAAUCAUGUGUUGGGUGAAGAGGAAUCGGCAACACGUGCCCCCCUGAACUUUGGCGAAGCUGUUAUAGUCUUACCCGGUUCAGGGAACACUCCGGAUCAGAUCGGCCGAUUCUUCGAGACGCUAUAUGAGGGUCUGGCCAGAGAUGAACGACCAUGGCUGGCUUAUGACGACCCAGACAGCAUGCUCCCUCUGACCUUCAAUCCAUUUGAUGAAGCUCUUGACAGGGACAAUGAGGUGAUGAUGGCAAUCGUGACCCCCAGAGCCAUACCAGUGAAUUUCUUCGGUACCACGAAAACCUCUCCCCAAACCUAUGAAUUUUAUAAUCCAUCGGCAUUAGCUCGCCAGCUAGCUUUCGGCCAAUUGCCGAUUGCACUUCCUUAUGCUGAUGUAAUAAAGCCCAGAGAGCCCAUCGCCAACCUCCUCGAGUGGACUCGAGUAGCCCAGCUACCACCAAAUGCCGAUACGGAUGUAGAUCUGUCAGAAUGGGUUCCAGCCGCCUUUAUCACUCAGGCAUACAAGCUAUGGUGGGCAGAAUGGAAAGAGAAUCUGUUCUGCAGAUCAGCCCUCUCAUACCGCGGCAUGAUCGACCCCGAAUAUGAAGUCCCUGAUGACACUGUAAGUAUUUUAAACCGAUGUCUCAUUUUCCAAUAUCACUCCCAUCGGUAACUUACCCCUGUAUUCCUUUUGCAGAUUGACAACACCCCCCCAUCAGUUAGUAGGAGUGGCAAGCCGAUCGACUUAUUCCCAUCAGGCCCGAUCUCCUCAAUCGGCCAUAAUGCUCCCACUCUGGCUUCCAUCGUGCACCGGGGUGCGCGCCUCAAGAAAGUUACCACCAGGAAAACUCAGACAUCACCACCGGUAACUGCUUCCACUCUGGCACAAGCUUUCAAGGCAAUCUGUUAAAACCCUUUUUUCAUUUACGCUGACUUAUCUUUGUAUCGGCUAUCUGUACUCAUAAACUCCUUUUUGUUGUUGCAGCAAACUGGUGCAUCGGCAAAAGUCAAACGCCAAGGCGCCGAUGCCCCCCAGUCGAGCCAGCCAAAGAGGAAGGGCAUCCACGGUGCUAAGGCUGGAACAAAGCGCCAGAAAGUGGCAACUCCUCCUCCUCCUCCGGUGUUUCCAAUCCCGGUGGAAUCUUCCCCUUCUUCUCCAGACGUCCAGGCACAGCAAGUACUAUCUCCACAACCAACACAGGAAGCACCACAGAUGGAAGAACCCCAGCAGGAAGAACCUCAAACGGCAGGUAUAUCAGCUGAUGUAGGUGAACAAACAACUGGCCCGGCAGGUACAGUUACAUCAUUGGCGGUUUCCUCGAUUCAGGCAACUGUUGUUUCUCCUCCGGGUAACAUAUCUCAACAAUACUCCUACCGAUAAACUUAUUCUCAUUUAUUCUUAUAAUCUUUCCUGUCUUCUUUCAGGCGAUAUCGCUCUAUCGGCAACAUUUGCCGAUCAACCUGCAGCUCCAUCGGCCUCUCUGAGUCAAAGGCAAGAAAUCGCCUUGAAGCAAGUAAGUCAUCCACUUUUCCAUCAGUAUCGUCUGCUGAAGCUUUGACCAUAAAAUUGACCUACUUCAUUUUUAUUUUCAGGAACAAGAUUCUCCCAACAGCUUGUUCUCCUUCGCUAUUGAUAUCUUUGAAGAAGAAGGCGAGGAAGCAAGCUCCUCUCGGGCAGUUGGAAUUGUAUCGGCAGAAACCAGAGCUAAGCUGGAGGAGCUAUCGGCCAUACUCCAUCAAGACACAACUCAACUGGUCAACGAUUCUGACCCAGCCAAGGCCCUGUUCAAGACCCUUAGAGGCCAAAUUCCUGCCGAUGCUGAAGAAACACUCUUCCAUGCUGCACAUCUAGAAAGCCGCCAGCUACAGUACCAGAGAGCUACUCGACGCCUUGCCGAUAGAGCUGCUCAAAUCCAGCUUUCUGAGGAGAUGAUGAAAGAAAAACUCUUAGCCGAUGAGAAACAUAAGAACAUCGGCACCUUAAAGUCCUCAGGUGAUGCACUGAAGCAGAAAGUGUCUGAUCUAUCGGCAAAAAGAGAAGCUCUACUGGCUGAACUCAAGCAAGUAGAAGACGCUCUGUCCCAAGCCCAGCAAGAAGAGAGUCAACUGCCGGAGACCAUCAAGCAUCUUGAACAAGAACGAAACGUCCAUGGUCGCAAAGCGCUGCAACUGAAGAGGAAGCUGAAGCCGAUCGAAGGUUCUGCCGAUGAUGAUAUCAAAGAGAUAGAGACAGCCAACCAGAUUCGGCUGCGCGCCAUAUCAGCAAUCCAAUCGCUGCUGAGCAUCUGAAGCUUUCAUCGGCGACACACCUUUGUUUUUCCGCCUUCAGCUUUUAGUCUAGCCGAUAAGACUGUUAUCGGCAUCUUUUGAAACAUUAAGUCUGCCCUCGAACAUUUAAAUCCAGCCGAUAGGAGUGUUAUCGGCACUUAAACUUUCAUGCGUCGAUCCAUAUGCUGGGGUAGUACUUCUUCAAAUAUUUGCCAUUUAAUGCUCUGGGAAAUUCAACUCCUUCGAGAGUUUCUAGAAUAUAGGCAUUACCAGGAGCUAAAUGUCUUAUCCGAUAAGGACCUUCCCAAUUAGGAGACCACUUCCCAAACUUCGAACUUUUAGUCCCGACUGGCAAAAUCAACUUCCAUACCAAAUCCCCAUCGGCAAACUCCUUAGCCUUUACUUUUUGCAACCUCCUUUUCUGUGUCUUGGUUAAUCCUUGAGGGCACCAUGGAGGAAGUGGCCUUUGCCUUACUGCCGGGCGUCGGUUCUCCCUUGACUCCAUACGAUGUGUGUUAGCAUCUCUGCAAAAUAUGAACUCAUCGGGAACCCGCGCAUUAGCCAUUUCCUCAAGCUCUUCCUGGUUCCUGGGAAAAUACUGGACACGGUCACCGAUCCGAUCGCGAACACUAAGCCUGCCCCCCAGCCGAUCAUGAACUGACGCCCUUCCUCUGAUUGGCCCAUUAAAUCGCCGUUCAUCAUCAUGAUAACGCCGAUCGUUCCUAUCGUACCGACCAUAACCGUUGCAUUCAGGGCAGUCUCUGACAGUAGGAAGCUUGAUAUUUUCCUCCCAACAAUGGAUGAAGAAUGGACAAUUCCAAUGAUCCCUGUGCCGAUUCCACUCCUGUCGGCGUCUUUCUUCUUCCCGUUGAUAAUCUUCCUGCUGGCGCCGAUAUCGAUCUUCCCGUUGUUGCCAUCUCUCUCGAGGCCUUCUAUGAGUUAUGACAAUACCAGACCGAGGAAGUCUUCCUGAGCUAGCUCCUUCCUGGACCAAGCCCUUACUUCUUGCAUCGGCGGUAGUAACUUGAUGCUGAGGAUCUACCGAUGCACUCUUCUCAGCUGUCUCCGACGUUAAGACCUUAGCCUUCCCCUUAGCGUCCAACAUGUUUGUCGGGAAAGGAUGUUGGUCUAUCUUCAUCAGCUUCUGGGCUUUAGAACUGUCAAACUUGAUUCUCCCCGACUCUAUAGCUGAUUGCAGCUGUUGUCUGAAUACUUUGCACUCGUUGGUGUCAUGUGAAGUUGCAUUAUGCCACUUGCAAUAUCUCAUCCUCUUCAACUCUUCUGCCGACGGGAUCACAUGGUUAGGUGACAGUUUGAUUUGACCUUCCUGAAGUAGAAAGUCAAAUAUCCUAUCGGCCUUGGCGGUGUCAAAGGCAAACUUCUCUGGUUCUUUCUGCCCAAAAGGACAAGACAUCGGCUUCUUGUUUUUUACCCACUCUGCCAAACCGAUUACUGGUUCCUUGUCGGAAUCUGAGCUUGUUGCUUCGUCAACAAAUGACACUUUCUUAUUCCAUGCCCUCUUAGGCUCGAAAGGCUUGAUGUCUUGAUCAGAUAUCCUCUGCACCAAAUGACUUAAACUCUCGAACUCUUGAGAUGCAUACUUAUCCCUGAUAUGUGGCAGCAAACCCUGGAAAGCCAAAUCGGCUAGCUGCCGAUCAUCCAGAACCAGGCUAUAGCAUUUAUUCUUGACCUCUCGUAUCCUCUGCACAAAUCCCUCAACCGACUCAUCAUUACGUUGCCUCAACUUAACCAAGUCGGUGAUCUUCUUCUCAUGAACCCCCGAGAAGAAGUAUCUGUGGAAUUGCUUCUCUAGAUCGGCCCAAGUAAUUACUGAGUUGGGAGGUAACGAUAUGAACCAAGUAAAGGCCGAUCCAGACAGUGAUGACGAAAAUAGACGAACCCUUAAUUCGUCCCUGUUACCAGCCUCUCCACAUUGAAUAAUGAACCUGUUGACAUGCUCCAUGGUUGACGUGUCGUCCUGUCCGGAAAACUUUGUAAAAUCUGGUACCUUGUACCGAUGUGGAAGCGGGAUCAAAUCAUACGCUGGAGGAUACGGUGUCCGAUAAGAAUAAGUGUUGACUUUGGGUUUUAUCCCAAAUUGUUCCCUCAUUACUUCAGCAAUCUUAUCGGCCCAAUAAGCAUCGGCAUCUUGCCGAUGAGGCGGCUGCGGAUCCGGCACUUGGUGGCGAACCUCCACGUGUCUGUUUGGGACGUGACCUGUAUGGAACAACGUAUUGGUCACCUGUCCUCCAAUCUGCGGACUACCAAACUGCUGUCCACCGAUUGGCUGUCCUCCGAGUUGCUGUCUAAAAUUUAUUGGCUGGUUGGGAAUUCCCUGACCUUGGAACCCGGGAUAAACCUGCCCUUGCUGGAACCCCGUAGUCUGAUAACCCUGCUGGGGCGACUGUGGAAAGGCUUGCUGUCCAAGCCAUCCAUUAUUAGCGUUCAUCGGCAUAGGUGCUGCCGAUGAUUGGUAAUUGGGUAUCGUCGUUGAAUUGACAUACCCCGACUGGGCCAUAGGCCUCUGUUGCAUCAGCAUUGACUCUGCCGAUGCGUUGGGCAUCUGGAACAUUGAAUCUUGAGGAUUUCCAGUGUGAGGCCUUGCAGUAGUAGUUGUGGUAUACCGAGGACUCUGGUUCACCGGCACAUUGGAAGGUGCCGAUGUCAGAGGAGUUUUGCCCCUCAUGUCAGUUAUCUGUGACGUUCCCGGCGUCAACUCUGGAGGCAUACCAUAACCCCACCAGUUGGGAGGAAGAGUUAAUCUCGACAUUGCCGAUGCCAACAUAUCUGUUGUCAGUUUAUGCUGCCCAACUGAAAUUUGUGGGUUGGUUGCCAUCGGCAUAGAUAGUGCACCAGUAGUCCCCAAUGUACUUGGAGGGACGGCAGACUGUGCACUUGCACUCGUCAAGGCAGCCGAUGGAGCCGUGACCUCUGGUGCCGUGGGUUGAUGAUGGGAAGGGCCCACAUAAUCCGGCGGGAUUUGUCCUUCCUUGAAGGUUCUUGCCACGGCGUUGAAAACCGUAUUAGACAGUACACCAGCUUGGUUAAUCAGCGCUCGAUUGAUGGCAUUGUCAACCAUGUCUUGAAGCUUGCCAGGAUUGGCGUCAAAGGUGACCUGCCGUGGUGCCGGCAGUGCAUCUUUCUGGACCACUUCGCCGCUCCUGUUUAUGCUGAAAGACUUCAGGCAUUGCUGCUUGAACUCUUCCAUGGCUUGGGCAACAGCUUGCUUCUGCUCAUCCUUGAGGUUGGCUUCUGUCACGGGGAUGACGUUGUCUUGAUCGAGGUCAGAGAUCGACAUGUUGAUCUUGAUCUUGAAUCGGUCCCACCGGGCGUGCCAAAAGAUGUGUUGAUGCAAAAACUAGUCUGCAAACACAAAGGGCUAAUACCCGAUCCAAACGUUAAGGCGUGCCAGCCGAUUUGACCUUACUAUCGGCAAAGGUGAUAACUCGAAUACUUUAGUCCUGACAACAGCGAUGCGCCCGGAUGUCACGGCUAAGAGGUACUCACGCGGAACUUGAGGAUACGCCGAGCUUGAGUCGACGAAUUCCUAAGAACUCGUAACAAAAAGAAAACGUAUGACGAAGUCGUCGAAAAAGUAAAUGCUGGAAUAUGAGUAAAAACGUGUGUUUGAUUGAUUGAUAGAUGUUUUGAUUACAAGGUCCUAGGGCUUAUAUUUAUACCCUGCUCAAAGAGCUACGACCAGACACGAUUAGAAUUCGAAUUCCAAAUUACACGGAACCCGUAUACAAAACGAUGCGAAUAACUAAGGAAAUAAUAAAACCAUCCUUCGUGACAAACCGAAACUCCUCCACAUGACAACUGGCAGCUUCUGGACUCCUCCUUCGCGUCAUCGGCAAUCUCCUUGCCAUAGUCAUCGGCAGACCUUUUUACUUGGUCAUCGGCACCAUAUUACUGCCUGAGGACUUAGUCACAUUCAACCUUUCCCUCAUCGGCAACCAUCCUUAUCAGCAACCCGCAUCGUACUGCCACCCUAUCCUGCCAUCCUGGACACGUGCCCAAAAAUGGUGUCAACAGCGGUGAUGGUGCCCUAUCCUCAUUCCGUCGAGCCUGUUGACGGUCCUUAAGUAUCAAAUUUAAUUAUCAAAUAAAUAAAGAAAAGGAUCCAAAUGAAAUCAACAUCUAGACUUAGGGUUUUAUCUGACAGAAUUCCAUGAGUGUUGGUGUUUGUCUAUUUCUGUAGGGGGUUAUCAGGAAAUACAGAAGAAAGGCCCACACGUCAGGAUUACAUAAAGAUAUUAACGUGCCGCGCAAUUAUCUUACAUCUAGAAGACUCCAGAAGCCACGAGACCGAAGCGGAGGCAAAACGGGGCCUGACCCUAGGCGCCCGCCCAGGUGAUCAGGGCGCCCGCCCACCUCCUGAGUCCAAUCAGGACUCUGCUUCGUGGGAGAUCUCCACCAACGUAAAGGACGAAUCUAAACCAUACAAUCUAUGUCGGUUUGAUACAACGGCCCAUAUUCACUUGAAGGGACUAUAAAACCAGACCCCGUGGCCCCUGGAGGAGAGAGCCUCUCAACCCUAAUUCAUUGUUCCUCAAGGGAGAAGAAGCCUCUGAUCAAGAUUAGAGCCACCACAUCAAUUAGAUAUCUAGAUUAGCAUAGCUACAUAGGAUUAGAACUAGAAGGAGUCAAUCUUCGAUUGGUUUCCGAAUCUGUCAGGAGGAUUCUUGGUAAUUCUCUAAUUGUGCUUCUAAUUACUUUCUAAUUAUCUUUGUUCUUCAAUAUUAUGAAUAUGACUUUGUUCUACUUCAAUAUAUUGCUUAUGACUUUGCUCUAUUUGCUUAUAUUCAAGAUUAUAUUGUUCUUAGUUUAUCAUAGUUAUGUACUUGGCUUAGUUAGAUUGGAUCUAUAUACAUGCUUAGGAUCGUAUAGCGUUUAUCCAUCGGAUCCAUGGGUAAAUGAUAGAUAUUGUGUAGGCGUGGUGCUUAUACCGUAUUUAUCUGCGAUUGUACCCAAUAUGCUAGAUCGUGGGGUGGUUCGUGAUAGUGACAGCUUCAUUGAUUCUUAUAUGGUCCCCCUCUCGUGUAUUGGGCUGGCAGAGCAAUAUUAUUACAGGGGAGUGAUUGCUAUGUUUCUCAUAUUCCUUGCUAAUAUCACUAUGCAUGGGCGUAGUCUUGUCUCACAAUGAUUGCUAAGUAUGCUUGCACUAACUAUGAUAUGCUAGACUAUAUAGUUGAGAAUAACUUAGGGAAUAUUCUAGUAGUUCGUUCUAAUACCAUGCUAAUGACUUUCUAGAGUAUCUAAUUGAGGUGCUUAUCAUAUUUAUUAUGUGGCUAGAUCAGAUUAGUUAUCCUUGUCACUAUUAUUAUUUCAUAUAUCUUUUAUGUGACACUUAUCCCUGUAUGAAGAGUUAGAUAUAAUGUUCUCAAUUAUACAUGCAAUGAUAGAUGCUCAAUCUCAUAUUCUAUUCUGUAAUAAAUAGUGAUGAUUGUUAAUCCCUUCCCUGUGGUAAAAAUAUAAAUAAUGAUACCUGGAAUACUUCCCGGUUAAAAUGCUGCAUCGGUAUUAAUCUAUGCGCUUGCAGAUCCCAUUCAUUAUUUAUUUAGAAGACCAAUUGCAUAUUUCAAUACCGCGUCUCUUAUAUCAUGCUGGGGAUGACAACUUGGCUUAAGUGGUGUGAGGGAUAGGUUUGGCAUUUUUGGCACUGUUACUAGAUUUAGAGAACUUAGUCUACUUUCGGUAAUGAUGUUAAAAAUACCCAACAAGCAUUUUUGUCGCCGUUGCCGGGGAAGGUUGAUUACUAAUCAGGAAUGGAAUAAAAGAUUUUGAGUUAUCAUUCGCAUCACUAAUAUGAUUGAGCUUAUCUAUUCUCUCAUACAGUUUUACCCCGAUAUUUUUCUAUUUUAUCUUAUGCAGGGGAAUGUAUGAAUAGAAGACAUCUUCGAGGAAAUUUUGUUGACAAUCCCGAAGCAUUAUUCAAGAAGACGAGAGCCAAGCUCAAGAAGAGAUCAUCAACACUUUCAGCAAGAAGCUUCAUCCAAUCAAGAAGAUCACCGGAACUUGUCUUCAGAGUUCGAAGCCAUGGCGAACAAAUCGAUCCGCGAGUUCUCAGCUCCCACUACGGACAACAUCCGCACUGGACCUGCUGCAGAGAUCGAUGGCAACUUUGAGCUUAAGCCUGGACUUAUCAAUAUGGUGCAAUCCAACCAGUUCUGUGGGAAGACACACGAAGAUGCUAGUGCUCAUUUACAACACUUCCUGGAGAUUUGCAACACAUUCACCAUAUCAGGAGUUUCUAGAGAUGCUAUACUACUUCGCCUCUUCCCAUUCUCACAAUUAGGAAGCGCGAAGCAGUGGUUUUACGCUACCAAGGAGAAGAAUACUACGUGGGCACUCUGCUCAACAAACUUCCUGGCAAAGUUCUUUCCCAUGGGCAAGACCAAUGCUCUCCGUGGGAAGAUUACAAGUUUUCAGCAACAAAAUGAUGAAUCUGUUCCACAAGCAUGGGAGCGCUUUCAAGACUACAUCCUAGAAUGUCCCCAUCAUGGAAUGGAGAGUUGGCUAUUGAUGCAGACGUUUUAUCAUGGGCUCGGCAACAAUGCCUGAGAGACCAUGGAUGCUGGAGCUGGAGGAGCAUUCUUAUCACUUACUAUACCACAAGCCACAGCUCUUGUGGAGAAGAUGGCGUCCAAUCAAAGCUGGAAUGAAGAGAGGACCUAGACACGCAAGAGAGGUGUAGGUAUGCAUCAGCUAAAGGAGGUAGACAUGCUGUCUGCAAAGCUAGACAUGCUCAUGAAGAAGCUCGAUGAUAGAGCUGGAGAUAAGAAAGAAGUUAUGCAUAUCUACGACUCUCACAUGACUUGUGAGGAGUGUGGAGACACUGGACACUCAGGCAACCACUGUCCUGAGAUACUUGAGGAUGUGAACUACAUCAACAACAACAACUACUACUACUACAACCGUCCACAACAAAAUCAAGGUUGGAAUCAACAGAGGCCUAACUACUCAGGUAAUUAUCAAGGUAACAAUUCUUACAACAAUAAUAAUAAUUUUCCACCUCUGAGAGAGUUAGUGUCUAAUCAAGGAAAGCUAAUAGAUAACCUAUCUAAGAAAUUGGCAUCUAAUGAUAAAAUGCUAGAAAAUAUAAAUAAUAGAAUGGAUAAUUUCUCUACUGCCAUCAAGAAUCAAAUUAGCUUUAAUAAAAUGAUUGAAUCUCAGUUAAAUCAAAUAGCUGCUGUUGUUCCUACUACUAACCCCGGUAAACCAUCACAACCGGAAGGAUUAGAAUCUGCAAAUCUUGUAGACAUGUUUGAUGCAGGUAAUUGGAGUAACCCCGUCACUGAAUUCUCCACUGACCUUCUGCCGGUCAAGAGAGGCGAUCCAGGACGCCCCGUCAUCCCGAUCUCCAUCGGCAUGGUGGAUGUCCCAGAAGCACUCUGUGACUUUGGCUCCAGUGUCAACAUUAUACCCAGGGUACGCUAUGAAAAAUUCUUUACAUAUCCUUUAUUAGAAACAACCAUGUGUUUGCAGUUUGCAGAUCAGACGAUAACUUUUCCAAAGGGAAUAUUGAAGAACCUUUGCGUCCGAGUUGGUACCUUGUAUGCCCCAGCAGACUUCAUAGUGGUAGAGACCAGAAAUGAUGAGAGAGCACCUAUCAUCCUAGGGAGGCCAUUCUUAAACACCGCGGGAGCUAUCAUCUACGCCAGUGCUGCCAAGAUCAGUUUCUACAUCAAAGGGAGGGAGGAGACAUUUUUAUUCAGGAACAAGACUACACAAAUUCUAGAUCAAUCCAGACGUGAAUCAAGGAAGAGGACCAACAGGAGGAACAGGAACAAGCAAGUGUGGACCGAGUCAGCUAAGAUGGUCACUGUAGUUCAUGGAGGCCAAGAUCACCAACUUAGGUCACCGCUUUUGACCAAGAAGGACGACCCAGGAAUGCCAAGCAUCUAUUGCUCCAUAAAUGGAUACAACUUCUACAAGGCAACUUGUGACACUGGAUCGGGCGUCAACAUAAUGGCCGCAGUCACCAUCGGCUCUUGUGCGGAACCAUGCCCCUAAGACCAACAUACAUUCAGCUCCAGAUGGCAGAUCAGACAUUUUGAGAAGUUAAAGGAAUAGUAUCUGAUGUCCAGUCAAAAUAGACGAUCACUUUGUCUACACAGACUUUCAAGUUAUUGACAUGGGAGAAGAUGAGUAUGAUCCACCCAUCAUCCUUAGAAGACCGUUCCUCAGCAUCGUUAAAGCAAUUAUCUACAUUGGAACAGGAAAAGUCCAUAUGCACUUCCCCUCAGAGAAGGUACGCUGUUAUUUUACUGACCCUAAUUAUAUCGUUGAAGAAUCUAAGCAAGUAAGAAAACGACGCAACCAGAGGAGGCAGAUCAUCAAGGAGGGAUGGGUAGACUAUGAAGGAGAAGUUGUAAGGUCAGAAGACAUAGAGUUUAAACAGAAUUAUCCAGAGGAGAUUGAAGCACCGAGUCAGGUAUGGAAAAUGAAGAUAACUAUACAAGAAGAGGAGGCGCUGCCGGAAGUCCCGACUACGCCACCCAACGAACCUCAGGACAAUUGAGAAAACGGAGUCCCGUUCGGAGGACUUAAAAACACCGAACGCCUUGCCAAGAUGUAAACUUGGUAGUUAUCCUUUCCCUUUCAAUUAUUUCAAAUAGUUUACUUAGUUAAUUAAAUUCAUACUAUCCUAAAAAGAAAAUAAAAAUGUGAAAAACAGUAAGCCCCAUGUGAGUAGACGAGUGGCAUAAAACCCAUAAGUACAUUCACUGUGGUGGCAUAAAAAUAAAAAUUUCAUUUCUGCUUUAUAAAAAUGAAAAUAUAAAAACAGGGAGUAACAUUUAUUUAGGAGUCUCAACAUGAUAAAGGCUAGAUAUUUAUUCUAACACUUAAUCAGUUCCACAAGCUUUGUUGUCUAUUUGAGCUCCACAGAAUCUAAGAAUCAAGAAGACUGGCAGACGGAGGACAUUCUAAUCACUGUCAGAAUACUGCUGACUUUCAAAUACACCUCUGCCACUUGCUAGCUACAUCAAGAGAAAUUACGUCAAAAUUCAGCUUGGGGGAGAGCACCCCCAUUUAUACCGAUAAGUAUUUCUAUCCAUCUAUCUUUAUACUUAUAUUAUUUUAGAAUAUAGAUAUACAUAAUUCUGAAAAAUCAAAUAAAGAUUUUAUGCUUACGUUUAUAUAUUUGCCUUUUGCUUAGUGUGUUUAAUAAACAAAUAAGUGGCUAUGCUAAUCUUUAUCUAAAUAGAACUUAAGCAUGGAUAUGAUGAAUAGUUGCUCUGCCUAAUUUACAAAUUUUAAGUUCUCUCUCAAGUUUAGACAUAACUGUUAUAAUUUAAAGCUUGCUCUAGACCUAAACUUGUAGGAUGAAAACUUGAUCUGAAGUCUAAGUUGUUAACGGAUAUGAUAUGGGAAGGUUGAGCUGCUGUUUAUCUGUUCCUAGAGAUGCUAGAAUUUUGGAGAAUUUUAUCUUUGAAAAUCUUAAAAAUGUUGCAUGAUGAGUUCCUGUAUGAUGAGAGUUUUAAAUUCCUACCACAGCCAUAUAUACAUGCUUGCUAGACUUUGAGCCACACAUUUACUAUUUACUGCUUAUGAGCAUUGAGUGUGGUCAAGCUGUGUAGACCCUUAGGAGCUUGUCAUGUGGUUAAAUCAAGAUUCACUUGCACGUUCACUCAUAUAUGCUACUUCUACUCCGGAAGUACCAUCCACAUAUAUCCACCCAUUCCAUCUCCAGAAUCACCUAAAAAUAUUCUACUCCUAAUCCGAGAGAGAAUAACCAAAAAUAUUUCUGUUUCCCUUGUGAAAUAAAUGCUCAAGUUAUCUUUUUACUACCACUUGCUAUAUUAUCUCAAGAGAUGAGUGCUCUAAAAAAAAGGGAAAAAAAUAUAUACGAGGAAAUAAAAAGGAGCAAGUGCUCGGAACCUCGAAAGAACAGAAAAGUAAGACGAGAGGUAAAAAUGGACAAGUGUCCCACAGUAGAAUUAGGGGUACAAGAUACCCACCUGAGAGAAAAAAGAGAAGAGCAUCUCAUUCUCCUCAUAAAGUUUCAAAAAAGCAAGGAAGGUAUGUAUCCCCACAAAAGAGCAAAGUAGAAUUAGACUUCCACCAUUGUUAUCACCAUCAUCACCAUACACCAUUCAUUCGCCACACAUGCACAUCUUGAUUUGGCUUAUUGAUUUGUUUCUUUGGAUCCAUGGUUUGACUAUGCAAUAAAUGUUUUGUAAGUAUGUAUACUUUAUCUCCCACCUAUGAGCUCCAGAUAUUAAAGCCUUAUUAUAGUAGG